rnacentral:lncRNA from 1 species
AGCCUUUUUGGCGGGCCUGAUGACCCGGAGUUUAAGCUUUUCCGAGGUAGCCUAUGGAAAGAGUGUGGCAUUGAGGUGGAUGUUGAGAAUGGUUCGUCCAAGAAUGAUUCGACUUGCGCUAGUUCGGCUCAGGAUUGAAUAAAGAUGAAGAAUAAAUGUGUGAUUUUGGACCUUGGUGCCGACUAGUGCGUGUAGUUAGCUUUGUUUAUAAAAGUAGUAAAUCCACAUGCAAAAAGGACCAAUUUGCUUUGGAUUAAGGUUAUGUUGGGAGCUAUCUAUGGACUUUACUCAUAUGAUCUGAUAUCAGCUAUUCCUCAUUUUUAAGUCUCCUAUAAUUUAACUUGAAAAUAUCAUUUAUUCUUCAAGUCGUAUUUCAUUUCUUGAGUAUUAUCAUAUAUAUUUAUGAAACAAUGAGCAUUAGGAGAAGAAUGCAUUACCUGCGCAAAAUCAACUUUGGUAAAAAUCUCAACUUUUUGCUUUAAGGAAAACAGGCAUUUGGCCUUGGUUGUUUAUUUAUGAGCCAUUUUUGGGUGGUCGUACACACAUUUGGCUCACUAAUGGAUAAUGGCGUUGAGAAGGAAAAGAGGGGUGUAUGAUGAGCAAUUGAGCCAACUGAAUUUGCAGCUGGAAUCCACUCCUAUUCAAAGUUUGGAGCCUGACUAGACCCGGCAUUUUGGAUCCGAUCUGUUAACCUGAUCCAAUCCGUUAAUAUUAGUAUUUAAGUGGAUGCUUAACAGGUCGGGUCGUUAACAGGUGAACCCGUUAAAUAACGGGUCACUUUGGGUCAACACGUUAGCAUCCGUUAGUUGAUGAUGUUUUAGUAAUUUCAGUAAAGUCUUAACAACAAAAAAUAAACUCUGUGCAAAUAAUAAUAAUAAUAAUAAUAAUUGUUAACGGGUGAAAUUGAUGAUCUGUUAACUUAACGGGUCGGGUUCAGGUGACCUGUUAACUUAACGGGUCGGAUUGAACUCAACCCAAACCUAAUAAAUCCGACCCGUUUACAGGUCUAAGCCUGACAAAUUGUUGCAAGCUUUUAAGGCAAAGUUUUACCAAGUUUUACAAAGUUCUAACUUCAGGAACUUCCUUUUUCUUUCUUGUUUAACUUUUUGUGAAAUUAUUUCCUUUAAAACAGCCAAGUUACAUGUGCAUCUAUCUCACAACAAUUUGGUUUGGAGCAACAAGCGCCUGUAAAUCAUGUGUCUUGGAUUAUCUAAUAAAUCAUUAAAGCUUAAUUACAGAUGCAACAACGGCAAAGUAAACCUUAAUUACAUCCGAGGCAAAGUAAACCGUAAGUCAUCUAAAUGUAUCAAAACAAAUUAACAGUUUAUCAUGAAUAUGAUAUUUGGUACCUACACCGUUGAUUUAUUCAUAUAUUUGGAUGACUACAUGAUUCCUCAUUCGAAUAAAUUUUUUGCAUGGAUGAUCUUCAAAUAAAGGUUGCGAGAUUAAACAGUUCCAAUUAUGAAAUUUACUGGUUGAAGAUAUUAUUACAUUUGCAAGUUGGGAUUCACUGUAUUCCUGUUCAAAGCAAACAUUCCAUUUUUGAGAUAUAUUUUGAAUUUCUACUACUCUGAUUUAUAUGAUUAUGUUCUUAUCACUUCCAAGUUUGUACUAGUUGUUUGACAUGAUAAGCAGUGCAGUUAUUUCGGCAUUAGAUCCACUUAUAUAGGUUGGCAUUCGGUCAUUUAUCUGAACAUCGACCACAAGAUGCUUGGCAAAGUUGAGUUGCAAACACUAACCUUCCUAGAAAUAAAAGUUAGUGCAUGUGCAUAGCUCACAUCCAGCUUGCCAGUUGUCUCAGACUCAUCUCGCAGCAUUGAAUAGAUAUCACCGACAGGAUCCCCCGGCCAGAUUCUGGCGAUCAUCUGAGUACAAAGAGAACUUCGACAUAUGCAUCAGCCUUAAUGCCUCAUCCACAUCAGAUUGAGCCACAGUUUCAGAAUGUCGGAGUCUUGCCUGUAAGCAAAAGAAGUUAGUUUGUCUGUUGAGCAACCCAUCCAACAAACCCAGAAAAUCUCUUUUAUCUAUAAUACCCAAAAAUAGUAUAUGGCAUUUGUUAAAACUAGAUUUCCAUGCAAGAUAUUUCUUCCUCUACUUAUGGAUGGCAUUUCUUGAGCAAACCAUCAAAUGGGUAAAAUGUGGCACGAACAACAUACUCAUACAUAAUUUACCCCUUUACAAUUCCAACCUACACUACUACAAAAGGACCUUAUAGUGUCAGUGGAUGGUGUCGGUUUAAUCUAAUAUAGUAGCGAAUAAGAUAGUUGCGACACUAACUAAACAUGACGUCGGAUUUACUGUCGCUUAUAACCGUCAUAAAAUACUGGUGUCGCUUUUAAACCGACAUACACAUACAUUGUAAUAUUUUAAAUACUGGUGUCGCUUUUAAGCGACAUAAAGUAUGAGUGUAGGGACAAACGAUUGGAAGAGCUUUUUCAGUCAGUGUUGGUGUCGGUUUUAACCGACGCAAAAGUUUCCUUAUUCUGACGCCACAUCCAAGUGCACUGACAUGUCAGGCUCACGUCGGUUUGAACCGACGCAAACUUGUCCUAUUUCGAGGCCACCUGCUACGACUGUCAAGUCCGUCAGGGACACGUCGGUUUUAACCGAUGCAAACUUGUCCUUAUUUCGACACCACACAAACUUGUCCUUAUUGUUUUUAAAUAUUUUAAAGCGUGCGUCGGUUCUGAGCGACAUAGAUUUUAGUUUUUUUUUAAAUAUUCUAAAACCCAGUGUCAGUUGUAAGCAACAUAAUGAUGAUCUUUAUAUACUCACCCCCGUGUUUUUUUCUUCCUCUCUUGCAUUUUUCUUAUUUGUUCUUCCAAUUUCAAACCCUCCCCUUGUUUUCUCUCUUGCACCUUUCUUAUUUGUUCUUCCUACUUCAUUUGUUCCGUCUUCACAACAAUAAGUGUUUCUUUCUUCUAAUAUUUUUAUUUUCUCCACUUAUGUUUAAUUUUUAUGUACAAUUUAUUUUUGUAGGGAAUUUAUUUGAGCUGGUUGAGUACAUAAAGAUUUGAUCGACGACGGAAUUCUUCCAUAAUUCAGGUUUCUAUCACUAAAUUCUUUAAUUUUUAAAUUGUAUAAUACACAAGUUUAUUUAUUUAAAAGUUCUAAUUUAAGUAGUUAGAUAAAUUUCUACUAUUUUUGUUAAAUUAAUAAAUAUUUAGUCAAAUUAAUUAAUUUUGUCACUUGAAUUGUUAUGAGAAAAUGGAAAUGAAUAAUAGUUAUAAGCGUUUAUGUGAAAUUGACAUAUUAAAUAUAACAUAAACUUAUAAUAUUUAGUAAUAUAAGAAUAUAUUAUGCUAAAUUAAUUUGUUUUGCACUCUAAUUGUUAUUUUAAUUUGUUGUUAUUUUAAUUUGUUUUUGUUGUUAUUUUGAUAACUUUGAUAACUUUUGGUUGUUAUUUACUAAAAUGGAUUAGAUGAGCAUAAUUUUGAUAACUUUUUGUUGUUAUUUUAAUUUUUUUUACUAUAAUAGAUGUUGAAAAUUAAAAGAUUGCAAUUGUGAUAUAGUUCGAGGGUUGAAAGAUAGAAAUUGAAAAUUCUAAUAGUUAUGCCUACAUGAUAGAGAUUGAAAGAUUGUAGACAUCUUAGUGUCAACGUAAUAUUUUGUCCUCGUAAAGUGGUAAAACAUGGACAGGAGUUGGUUGACGAUAACUCGAAAUUUGGAAGCUUAUACAGCUGGAAUUAAUUUGUUUUUGGACCAAGCAGUUGCAAAUGGUGUUGGCCCUGAUAAGUUUAGAUGUCCUUGCAAAAGAUGUUGUAAUCGAUAUACUUUUGUUAGGAACACCGUUGUUGAACAUCUCAUAUUGUAUGAUAUGGAUAAAGAUUAUAAAAACGCUUGGUGGCGACAUCAUGGUGAGAAAAACAUUGGAAAGCAAAAUAUUGGUGGCGACAUCAUGGUGAGAAAAACAUUGGAAAGCAAAAUAUGGCAAUCAGAGAAGAAGAAACAGGAGAUGAGGUGGCUAGUAUGCAUGAUUUUCUUAAUGAUGUAUUUGUCCAACCAUUAACAGAAGAAGGUGUUGGGCCGUCUACUGAACCCCCUAUUGGGGAUGGGCAUUCAGAAGAGGUGGAGACUUUUUUUAGGUUGCUUGAAGAGGCAGAUCAAGAUUUAUGGCCAGGAUGUAAAAAGUUUAAGGAAUUUGAAGCAGUUGUAAGACUAUAUUAGAUCAAGUGUUUAGCGGGAAUGCCAAACGAGAUGUUCACCACUUUACUGGAGUUAAUUAAAAGAAUGUCGCCUAAAGGGGAUUGUUUUCCGGAAUCCUGUUAUAAGGCAAAAAAACUUAUAAAUGACUUGGGUCUGACGUAUGUGAAAAUUGAUGCAUGUCCCAAUGAUUGCAUGAUCUAUUGGAAAGAUACUUCGAAGUUGACCGUGUGCUCAGUUUGUGGUGAAUCAAGAUAUAAAAUUACCAACGCAGAGGAUAGCUUGAGAAAAAAGAUCGCAGCUAAGGUUAUGUGGUAUUUUCCUUUAAAACCACAAUUGCAACGAUUUUUUAUGUCGAAGCAUACGGUUGAACAUAUGAGGUGGCACGCAAUUGAAAUGUCCUAAGGAUAAGUUUAUGAGGCAUCCUUCAGAUUCUCCAGCAUUGAAGCAUUUGGAUAAUUUAUAUCCGGAUUUUGCGUCAGAAAUUCGAAAUGUCAUAUUAGGGUUGGCCAGUGAUGGAUUUAAUCCUUUUGCGAAAAUGAGGCAUGACCAUAGCACAUGGCCUGUGGUGCUUUCUGUUUACAAUUUACCGCCCUUGAUGUGCAUGAAGCAACCAAAUUUGUUGUUGUCUCUAUUAAUACCAGGACCGCGCAGUCCUGGUAAAGAUAUUGAUGUAUACAUGCGUCUACUGAUUGACGAGUUGAAUGAGUUAUUGGAGGUGGGCACUCCCACUUAUGAUGCAUAUUCCAACCAAAGUUUUACAAUGAAGGUUGCCGUCUUAUGGACUAUAAGUGAUUUUUCGGCUUAUGGAAUGUUGUCAGGAUGAAGUACACACUAUGUGGCCAGCCCUAUCGCUGGGUUCCAGACACUUUACUGCUUUGGCAUGAUCGAAUAGGACAACUUGGACGAGAUAUUAUGCGCCAUAUCCUCAAAGCAUCUCAUGGACAUCACUUGAAAUCUUAUCCCAGCCAUCCGUUUUGCAAAGCAUGUUCCCUGGGGAAGUUGAACACUUAACCUUCAAUUACCAAGAUUAUUCACGACCCCCCUAAAUUUCUUCAGAGGAUUCAAAGGGAUAUUUGUGGACAUAUCCAACCAAUGUGCGGACCAUUUAGAUAUUUUAUGGUGUUGGUUAAUGCAUCGACACGAUGGUCACAUGUCUGCUUACUGUCCACACGCAAUGCUGCAUUUGUGAAACUCCUAGCAUAAAUUAUUAAGCUUAGGGCUCACCACCCCAAUUAUCCGAUCAAGUCAAUUCGACUGGAUAAUGCUGGAAAGUUUACGUCACAGACCUUUGACGAUUAUUGCAUGUCUGUUAGGAUUGAAGUUGAACACCUUGUACCCCAUGUUCACACCUAAAACGGUCUGGCAUAAACUUUCAUAAAGUGCCUUUAAAUGAUAGCUUGGACUUUGGUUAUGAGAACCAACUUGCCGGUAUAUGCCUGGGGUCAUGCAAUAUUGCAUGUAACUAUAUUGAUCCGCUUGAGGCCCACCAUUACCCAACCCCAUUCACUGUUAUAGUUGGUUAUUGGAUACGAGCCUAACAUCUCGCAUUUACAUGUGUUUGGAUGUGCAGUCUAUGUGCCAAUAGCGCUGCCACUACGUACCAAAAUGGGUCCUCAGAGAAAAAUGAGAAUCUAUGUUUGUUAUGAUUUGCCAUCAAUUAUAUGCUACUUAGAGCCAUUGACAUGAGAUCUCUUUACCGCAUGUUUUACGGAUUGUCACUUUGAUGAGACAAUCUUCCCGUCGUUAGGGGGAGAUAAGAUCACUAAUGUUUCUAUAGAAUGCCGCGAAUUGUCGUAGAAUACUCCCAAUCGUACGCCGUAACAUCACCAUGGAAGGCCGAACCAUCCCCAAGGGUGGGGUGGCCGCACCUGCCACACGGUAGGGUACACUGGUGGCUAGCCAAUCACUUGCUCCUACCCUAAAGCAUGUUAGGCCUCCUAGUUCAAAGGAUUCACAACCCGAAAGAGGAAAUUGGCACAAACUAGUGAACCUAGUAUGAAUCCAACCAUUGCUUACUCAUUCGUUCCAACGUAUAAGGUUAUUCUAGAUUACAGUGAUGUUUUAUGAAACAUGAUGACCUCCUAUAAUCGUGAUAUUUCGGUCCAUUACGCAGUUUUGGAUGAGGUUUGGAAUCCGAAUUAGAUGAUAGUCGAUGAUGCAUUCGUGUAUACCGUUGCUUCCGACAUCAUGUUUAGCGAUGACAUUGAACCACGGUCCAUUGAUAAAUGUCGACGUAGAAUGGAUUGGUCAAACUGGAAACAAGCAAUCCAGGUCAAACUUGAUUCACUAGCAAAACGUAAGGUGUUGGGGCUACAAAUGGGUUUUCUUGAGGAAGCAUAAUGAGAAGAAUGAAAUAGUAAGAUACGAGGAAAAAAAAAAUAGUACGAUACAAAGCACGCCUCGUAGGGCAAGGCUUCUCUCAACGCCCUGAGAUUGAUUGCGAAGAAGACGUUGAUGAGUCGAUAUUAUACCAUAUAUUUUACCCUAUUCUUAAUUAUAAUUUAUUAGUUUAUUUUGGUGAAUUUUUGAUACUUUGUUAUGUAUUUUUAAUAUAGGACAUUUGACUUCCUCUGGAGAAAGGUGAUCAAACGGAUUAAUUUUGGUGUGAUUCCAAUUGGAGGAUGUUCGUGAAUCUUUCAAGAGGAUUGUAUCAAAAUUCCAGAUUUUUUCUACCAAGCCAUUUGACCGUGGCGAUGAAAAGAAGACCCAGCGCGCAGCUUUCCCAGAUUGACGUUUCUGGACGUUUUGGGGAUUUUGGAGGUCAAGAUAGUAUAUUUUGAGGAAUAUUCCUUCUGAGGAUUUGUAGAUGACGUUUCAAGCUUUCAAAAGAGACCUUUUAGGACCAAAUCAAAGUUUAUUUGGUCAGUCAAAAGACUAAUUUUCUGAGAACUCCGAAUUUCAGUUUAAAUAGGAAACCUUUUAUUUUCUGUUUUAUUAUUUUAUUAUUAUGUUUCCUAGUUUUAUUCUAAGACCUUUUCUAGGUAGGAUUUUAUUUGAUAGUAGUAUAAAUAAGACUUUUUAGCCAUUAGAUCAGGGGGAGACGCAUUAUUUUGGAGACCUACUUUUUACCUAUAAGGUGUUUUCAUUCUUUUUUCUAUUUAAUAUAUUUUCUUUAGUUUUUAUUAUGAUUGUUCAUAACUAAUUUCUUUUGCUAGGGCGAAGCCACGAGCUUUAGCAUGAAUAUGUGAUUUUAUUAAUAUGCUUAUGAAUGGAUGCAUGCUUGCUUUGAAUUAUUAAUUACCGCGAUUAAACUAUCUAAUUGUCUAAGUGAUUCGCGACCAUUAGGAUUUUUAGACAAGUAAUUUGAUAUAAUUUAUGUUGGAACAUCACCCUGAAAUUGAGGAGGGCUUCUUGUGAUUAGUAAUUGUAAGUUCACUUAAGGCGAACAUCACGCUUUUAAGGAUUGCAUGGUUUUUCAAAUGGUUUUCACAAAACUUAAUGAGUCUUGCAUGUUUAUAUUUGAUCUGAACAUCACAGAUGGGUUGCAUGUUAGAUAUACGUUUUCGCUUGAACAUCAUGAGGAAAAUAUGCAUUAGGGAAACCUAACCUUAAAAGCAUGUAUGUGGAAAUUCAUAAGUAAUUGGUAAAUUUGCAUAGGAUUGUUAAUGGUGACGGCAGAACCCUAGUGUUUAAAUUGUUUUCCAAAACCGUUUUCUUUUGCUUUCUUUACUUUGUUGAUCUAUUUAAUUGUCUUUAUAUUAAAUUCGUUUUUAUUAUUUUUUAAAUUCAAAAUCAACUUUUUUCAAUCUUUGUUUUCAAAUAUUUAGCUAAGAAUUAGUUUAAAUACAUAUUAUUCAUUCAAUCCAUGCAGAAAACGACCUUAUUUGAGCCGUUUAUACUACAACUACCUUGUUAUCUUGCAAGUAUUUUGAAGUGUUUUUAUUCAUACUUUUGCAGGUGGUAAAAAUCUUAAAAAUCCUAUCUGACAUAUUCCCACUUAAUGGACAUCAUAACGUUCCGCUACCGUAUCAGUUUGGUAGUUUCCAAAAAUCUGAACAUGCAACUUAUGGACGUGGUAACCGCGUAUCUUUAUGGGGCUCUAGAUACGGAAAUGUACAUGAAAGUUCCAGAAGGACUUCCAUUAGCUGGUUCAAAUAAUUCUAGACCACGCAACACUCUCUCGAUUAGAUUGAGGAGGUCACUUUACGGAUUGAAACAAUCCGGGGGGAUGUGGUAUAACCGUCUAAGUGAGUAUUUGACAAGUCAGGAUUAUGUGAACAACGAACUAUGCCCGUGCGUGUUCAUUAAGAAGUUAUAUUUUGGAUUUGCAAUCGUUGUAGUUUAUGUCGACGACAUGAACCUUAUUGGAACUUUUGCAUAGCUUAAGGAAAUUGCAGUGCACUUGAAAUAGGAAUUUGAGAAGAAAGAUCUUAGGAAAACUCGAUAUUGUCUCGGCCUGAAGAUCGAGCAUUGUUCGGAUGGAAUCCUAGUACAUCGAUCGAACUACACCUAGAAGGUGUUGCGUCGUUUUAAUAAGGAUAAAGCGAAGCCCUCAAGUGCUUCUAUGGUCGUUCGAACUUUAAAUGCUAAACGAUAUCCCUUCCGUCCGAAGGAGGGUGAGGAAGAGAUUUUGGAGCCUGAAGUUCCAUGCCUAAGUGCAAUUAGUGCUUUAUUGUACUUGGCUUAAUGCACUAGACUCGACAUCUCCUUCACUAUUAAUCUUUUGGCUAGAUAUAACAAUGCGCCUACAAGUAGAUACUGGAAUGGUGUUAAAGACGUUUUCCGCUACCUUAAGGGUACAACAUAUUUGGGCUUGUUUUACACCCACAAAUCCAUGAGAGAAGAUGUUGCUCCCCUCGAUCAUCGGGUUGAUUCGCGCCUCGUUGGUUACACAAAUGUUGGUUAUUUGUCUGACCCUCAUAGGGCACAUUCUCAAACGGUUUUUGUCUUUACCAUUGGAGAUACUGCUAUAUCUUGGAGUUCUACCAAGCAAACGCUAGUUGCAACUUCUUCGAACCAUGCUGAGAUUCUCGUCCUGAAUGAAGCCUUGCGAAAGUGUUUUUAGCUGAGAGCAGUUAUGGAACAUAUUCGAAAACACUAGUGGUCUUUCUUCAGUCGUUGACCUUUCUACAACGAUCUUUGAAGACAAUGCAGCAUGUAUCGAGCAGUUAAAGAAAUGAUACAUCAAGGGAGACAAGACCAAGCACAUAGCGCCGAAAUUCUUUUAUUCUCACCAGCAACAACAACAUCAGAACAUUGAAGUCAAGCAAAUCCGUUCCCAAGACAACGUGGCCGAUCUCUUCACAAAGUCACUGCCCAAGUCUACUUUUCAGAAGCUUGUCCAAGGAAUCGGUAUGCGUAAAUUAUCUGAAUUGAAUCGCUUGUAGUCUCAUUUGUAAGUUAUGUCUAACUUAGGGGAGUAUCUUGAAGCAUACUCACUUGAUCUUAAUGUACUAUUUUUCCUACGAUUAGGAGCAUUUUUUCCACUAGAUUUUUGCUACCUAACGAGGUUUUAACAAGGCACCCAUCCUAGGAUGAUCAUACUCCGUUGAGUUCACUACUUUCAUCCCGUUUGACGUUUGUUUUAGACAUUAUGCAUACUUCUCACUUUUCUCCUUAGUCUAUGGAUUUUCCUCAUACCUUGGGUUUUACCAUAGAGAGGUUUUGUGAGUUUUACUACCAAUGCAUACUUACGUUUAUUGUAUCUGAGACUCACGUUCACUCUGUAUGCCAACGACUUCAUCAACUGUUCUACCCCAUUUGCUGAAGACCUGAUGCGACGUUUUGUUUGAGUAUUUACAUAGGGUUGCAGUCCUAUCGGAUUAGGAUUGUGAUUGUGUAAAUCCUAGUAUAUCUAGGAGUAUCUUGUAGUUACCUAUUAGGAGUUGAUUACCUAUUAAGAUAUGUAAUCAUAAAAAUUCUACCUAUCAUACUACUAUAAAUAAAGGCAUAAGGCGAUGAUACAAUACACACUUCAAAAUUAAAUCUCUCAUUUUCUCUCUUGUUGCCGUUGGCCCCCUCUUCCUCUUUGUCCUUAUACAGUUCAGUCAAAUAGGUCUACAACACACUUAUUAUUUUUCUAUUUUUAGUUUAUCAGAUAAACUUACACGCACAUAUUACCUAAAUAAUUUAUUUCUUCAAGGUAAAAGGAGGAUGUGGAUGGUUUCUUUUGGACAUCUCGCCUAAUAUUAGAGUCAGUUUCUCGGCCACCAAUGAACCAAGAAAAACGAAAAAAAAUGGGAAGUCUCACAUCAGUGACAACUGGAACAUAAACAAUUUUUCUAUCCAGUAUUACUCUCGAUUUGGAAAUGUCUUCCAAUCUGGAUUUACCCCAAAAGAAAACGUUUUCAAAUCCGCUUUUAAAGUUAACCACAACUUAGCGCAAACAAAAUCUAAAUUACCGGUUGUAAAACUAAUUUAAGAUUUUGACCAGAAAAUGUUGCUAUCCAACUCUGUCUUUACAGCUAGGGAAGGCAAUACGUGCAAUGUAUCUACCUACAUAGCAUGUCUAUGAAGCUGAAUGCUGUGCAGCAGAACCAAGCCCUGCUUACCUUGAAAAAAGACUGUCAAAGAGCCAUCUGCAACCAUCUGAAAGAGCAACUGAAGAGAAUCAUCCUCAAACAAACUUUGUGCUGCCAAAGGAUGGUUUGCCAGUGCCUUCAUAACAUGCUCAUCAUUCCCUUAUACCCGCAUAAUUAUAGGUUAGAAACAAAAAGAAAGUUAAAAACAUACCAUGAACCGAUAACAUAACAAACACAAGAGCACAAUAACGUACAAGCAAAGACUAUGUUCGCGUCAGGAAUUUCCGUCGGGGAUGGUUUCCUGGCCGACGAGCACACAGCUCCCCGAGAGGUUGGCGCCGGUUGAGGGCAGCUGUCGGGCUUCUAUUUCACUAUCGGGCUUGGUCGGGCAAGUCUCGUCGGGCAAGUCUUUUAUCGGGCAAGACUCGUCAGGCAAGGCUGAAAGAGAAGGACAGAGUUAAUUUGAAAGGUGCCUUUGUGGGGCCUUAGGUGUAGGCCUUGAGGCUCACAAUCAAGAUUAACUUUGAGGUGCUCAGGCGUGCCACUGCCAUCUUUAGUAUGGCAGAUGUAGAAUGGAUGUCGUGUUUUAGUUGUAAAUAUGUAUAUACCCGAGCAACCGUGUUAGAUAUGACAGGUGCCUUUGUGGGGCUUUAGGUAUAGGCUUUGAGGCUUCCUGUCAAACUAAACCAGUGCUCGAACACAUCAUAUUCGGUCUCGUGAUUGCAGGAGUCUUUUAACUAUUAUACUUCUGAUUACCCGAGUCCGAGAAGUAGAGCGAACCCAAAUAGGUGCCUUUGUGGGGCCUUAGGUAUAGGCCUUGAGGCUUCCCAUUAGAGUUCGUUCUUAUACUCGAACAGUCUAGACCGUAAGAACGAAAUGAAUCCAAAUAGGUGCCUUCGUGGGGCCUUAGGUGUAGGCCUUGAGGCUUCCUAUCAGAAUCCAUUCCAUACUUAAGCGUUCUAUGAUAAUUAUGAUAUAAUAGAAACAAAACCAAGAGGUAGGUCGAUUACUUGCGCCCCAAGUAACUUCGGACUUCUCGUUUAUCAAGGACUGUCGUGGAUGGGUUAAGUCCACAUAAAGUUCUUUUUUAUGCCUUGAGGCCAAGGACUUUUAAACUGAUCAGAUUUACAUGCCCGAGGGCUUAGGACUUGGAUCUGAUUUGAACACUGAAGAUAUAUUCAAAUCGGAUCUAAAUACUGAGAAAGCAUUUUCAUCAUUAUUAUGCUAGAAAUAACUUGCAUAUAACUGGAAGUACACAACAUAUUGCUAGGCUUUAAAGAAUGAAAAGACAAAGACAAAGCAAAGAAGGUCGGACAAGAUUAAACCUUAUCAGUUAAGGCUGAUCGUCUUGCAGGUUCAUAUAUUUGUAGUUUUGUCAAAGGUCUGAAAGCUUAGAGGGAGAGAGGGGGAGAGGGAGAUACAGAAAGUGAAUCGAUACUACAACAAGUUCGAACAAGGUAGCAGAGCUAUUGCAAAGGUUUGAAGAGAAAAUUAUCCCGCGGGGGAUAAAGGCUUGUCCCGAAUGGGAUGAAGGCUUGGGCUGACUACAGCUUCGUUUUGAAGUCAAAUCUGGCUUUUGAGCAGAGUUUGGGCUUGCAUUUGUUUGUUUGAUUAAGUGUCCUUAUUUCUGUCUUCUCUUCCUCUUUUUAUAGACAACUCGGUUUGGCCUUCUGUAGCUGCAGCCUUGCCCGAAUGCGGUUUGAGGGUGAUGACUCAUCAGUUUUUUUACAUGUAAUGCCACCAUAAAGUACUUUAUGGGAUGUGCAGUCUGGUCAGUCUACACCACUUGGUCUUUGGGUAGGUAAGCAAGUGGUCAUUUAUGAAUUGUAUCAAGUCAGAAAAGGCCCUUUCCUGCUUUCCUAGGUUUCGGCCGGGCCUUGAUCUUCUAUUCCUCCAGGCCUCCUUUUGGGCCAGCUUCUUCCUUGAGCCCAAAGUCAAGUUUUAAUCCAAACAGUAUCUUGGUAAGGCUGGCUAACGUUCUUCACGAAGAUUUCCAUAUUUCCAAUAGCUUCGGAAAGAUCAUUCUGCAUCGCCUCUUCAACUUCACGUGCCAAGGCGUCUGCAGUCCUUUUCACCUUCUCUAUCAUCUCUUGCCGACGAGCUGGAAAUUUUGAUAUUGCUAAUAACCUAUAUCAAAGAAGAAGCAAAUAAUACACAUGAAUUAUACGUCGCAGAGGAAAGGAGUUCUGCCAUGUUUGAGCAAAACCUUGACAUUCAAGGCUCAAGCUUCAAGAAUUGAAAGAUAUCUGCAAGUAAAUGACGGCAGACACGAAUGGUCAAAUUCCAGAAUACACGUUACCCGCCAGCUGAGGCAAGACCAAGAGCAAGAAGAUCUUCUAAUGUGGUCGGCAGCACAGAUAUCAGAAGUGAAGCAGAGAUAAACCUGCCGCUCCAAGUCCACCAAAAGUUGCCAGAGACUGCAGUUGAAGCAAAAAAUGUCCAAAACAGAUUGACUUAAUCAUAACUAGUUCUUCAUCAAGAACAUCAACUUUUAGUUCAUAUUCUGUACUGAGCUUACCACUUCACGUAUUUCUUGCUCAAACAAUUUGGAAGCAGCACUGGUACUGAAGCCCUCUUUCACUUUCAAGCUGAGUUCGUUUACUUUCUUCAGCGAAUUCUCCGAAUGCACCCCACUGUACGGAUAGACAAAUGAAGGCCAACGUUUUUCAAACAUUUCUGCAUACAUCCUUCCUUCACGAGCACUAUCUGAUUGCAACCAUGUCACAUAUUCUCCAAGUUGUUUCUUUAUGACAAGAUGUUGACAUUAAACAAAAAAAAGAAGAAGAAUUAAAACCCACAAAACCAAUAGAUAAAGGAAGAAAAACAAUUAGAGAAUAUAAUUCUUUUAAUUCCUAUGCUGAACAGGAGAUGAAAUUCUGUCUUAUGAACUCAUACAGGCAUAAUCCUUGCAUAAUUCAAAUUAGACUGCAGGGCUAGACAAAGGAAUAGGGGAAAAAGCUAUUAACUUACUUGCGCAUCUGAAAAUGCAGUACCCAUUAUGUCAUUUUGAACCCUCAAGGUGGUAGCAAUCGUGGAGGAUUUUUCCCCUUUGAAAACAUAGUUAGCAACAGAUCAAGAUUUGAUAAUUGCUAAUAUCAAUCUGCAAUUUCAUGUGCAUGCACAAUGCGUUAACUCAUGUUUGAAAAUAUACAACCAAUUUGCCACUGGAUCAAAUUGUGCAAAACAUACCACAGAUAAAAUUCUUCUUCUCCAAGCUAUGCUUUCAUUUUCCAUCUUAACUGCAUAGUUCUUAACACUGCCAACUAUAUCAUUUAUUGAGGCCAAGUCCUGCUUGGCAUAUCGGCAGUCCUGUGGGACAAGAGUUUCACAAGCAGAAAGUAGCUUUUCUGCAAUUGCUACCGGUGUUUCCAGUUUAAUUUUCAUUCUUUCCAUUCCUAUGCUUGUUGACCCGUCUAAGAAACUAUACAAGAAAUUCUCAAGUUCAGAGAAAUUACUACUUUUCCACUGAGCAUCAGAUGUUGAUAGUUCUGCAUAAUUUUUCCCAAACAUAGAAGCUGAAAGUUUUGCUUCAAGAGCAGAGCGCACAGACACAGGAAAUAAAGUCACAUGUUCAGUAUUCAAAAGUUUUUGUGCAUUCUUCUCGAUGAAUGACAUAGCUUCCUCAAGCUGCAGAAAUAAUGAAAUUAGAUAAAGCAACAUGAAGACAAUUGAGAAGCUCAAACUGAUAUAGAAGCAUCAUAUUAACAGGUUUUUUUUUCUGCAAUAGGAUUACUAAAGGUAAUAUCAACAUUCAAUAUGCAUGAAAUGCUAGAACCUCAUGGGCAUUGCGGUAGAUAUCAGAUUUAUUCAAGACAAACACAACUUUCUUCUUCCACUGCUGAGUAUAACGAAGAAACGCAACCUGGAGAAAACACCAGUGACAAAAUUGAAUUCAGCUUUAGUGAAAAUAAUGAAUAGGUAAAACUAUUGCACCAGUCUAACAUAUAUAAUUAACCAAAGUCAGAAUCAGUUAAAAGACUUUGAGACCCGCAACAAUGUUUUUCUAGCCAUAUAGCUCAGCUACUUGCAGCUUUGGACUAUUAUCUACCAACGGAGAAUCCUUCGAUAAACCUUGUUAUCAAUCACAUUCGAAUAGAGGGGAAUGAUCUUUCCGAGAUGUAUAUUUUAACUAGCAUCCAGUUAUUCUGUAUAAAUUAUUAUUAUUAUUAUUAUUUUUUGUAAGAAAGAAGCCUGGAAAAAAGAAUGAGAUGCAACCAUAUAAGCCUGUGAAAUCUUUGUUUGUCAAUUUGUAGUCUAUGGAUGCAUUGAGCAGCAUGUCAUGCAAUUUGACGAACAAAACGAACAAAACAAAUCAUACCUCACUUUCAGUUAACGGGCGAUCAGCAGAGAUGACAAAAAGAAGCAAAUCGGCACGGGGCACAAAUUCCUCAGUAAGGCGUUGUUGCCUUUGGAGAAUCACAUUAGUUCCAGGUGUAUCAACAACGUUCAUCUGCGUCCAAUUUAAAAUAAAAUAAGUACGUACUACAAAAUGUAUUUUUAAUCAUAAAGUAGCAUUAAUCUAAUCCUGGGAAGAUGAUAGACUAGAUGUGCAGUAGAUUUUGUUCUGCCUGCAACACACAACUUUUUAUCUUGUGCAUCCAACCAUCAUGAUACGUAUGAUAUUCAAGUAAACGAAGGCAGACUAACCAUAUAAAAAACCUAUUAAUAAGGGAUUGUACCAUUUGAACUGAAUAUAAGAGUUUGAAAUCUACUCACUUCUUUAAGAAUUGGAGCAGGAAGGUGGCAUAUAUAUUGACCAUCUGGAUGCCUUUCACAACGCUGUUCCUCACCAGCAUCCAUCUCAGUGUACCGUGAGAUGUUUAUUCCCGAGAAGGGCAUUGAUAACAGUUGACUUGCCUGAGUUAAAUUCACCCUGUUGACAUAAAGAGAGAAAGUGUCAUAGGAGAACCACCAUAAACAUUCUGACAGAGUUCAUGAAUAAAGCCAACUGUAGAAAAUGACACGAUACUCCCCUCAUGAUUCUUCUAGCUCAAACAUGACAAAUAACUAAAUUAAGGUGUACUUCUAAAACAGUCAGUUUGGAAGCAUUAAUCCAAACAAAGACCAAACAAGAACUAGUGCCCUUUGGCAAAUUGAAGGCAAGAUGACCACUCAUGCGACCAAACGUAUUGUCCUAGGCGUAUACAAUAGCAGACGAGACGUAGUGUAGUUAAUUCCUAAAGGUUAGCUAAGGGUAUAUAGAUGAUAGAACCAAACUGUUUGUCGGGUCUGCAUUUGAAACCAAUAAUGGCUUACAAAUUUAAAUAUCACUGAACUUUUUAUUAGCAAUUCUCACGAACUACUGCAUAACUGUUAUCAAAGGCCACCUCAAUUCUAAAUUCUAUAUACUAUGAAGAAAAGAAGGAUUUACAUGAAAUAUAGAGCUAAUGCCAAUGUAUAUUCCUGGAACCACAAUUUGUUGAAGUUCAGCACACAAUUACCACUAUAACCAGCAAAAAUGGCUCAUCAAUUUGAGAAACCGCAUCAACGAGAAGUGAAACCUCCUCCAUCUGUCAUUCAAAAUCAAUAUUCCACUUUUAAUCAUAAAGUAUACGAAUAAAAAUGAAUGAAAUUAUGAUUAUCUCAAUAUUAACUUUAACUACCAAAUUCUUUAAUUAAAUGAUCACCAGUGGAGCAGCUUUCUGGAUGACAUUUAUUGCUUUAAGCAACACUGAUAUUUCUGCUUCUAUGAACUUUUUUUCUCUAUUCUCCAAUUUAAGAAAACCAGCAACACUUGUACUGUCGAUGGGACCAUCAUGAGCAUCCACAUUUUCCUUCUUAUAUAAGGCGUUAUAAGAAGUGAACGUGACAAAUAUUGGUAGCUUUACAGUUUUAAACAGACUGUUGAGUGCCAGAAGAACAUUUUCCUGUCCGGCAAUAUCGUACAUAAGAAAGUCAGCUCCUUCAGAGUUGGAUGCAUUUAUGGCACCAUCUAUAUCUUGCACAUAUCUUGCCACCAAAGGAAGGACAACCGAAUCGGAUUUAGAAGCCAGCAUUGUGCUUCUUGCUACAAUGGCAGGAAGACCUAUGUAAGAAGAAACAAACACAUCAUUCACGACGUUACCAAAAAACACAUCACUGACCGAGUCCACGGAUUUUCGAUACCAAAUGCACCGAACUUCUAUAAAGAAAUGAAAAAGCAUUACUCCCUUGGGACGAAGACGCGCCCGCCGAGGUGGAUUGUACCAACGCCCUAGCCACCCGAUAGCCACUACUCACAGUAUAAGCACCCCGAAGGUUGUAGUGCCAUACUAACCGAUCCGGCGGUAAGCGGAAGACAACUCCUGUAACACAUCCAAUUUCCACGAGCAAGACUCUGUAUCAAUAAGUGCAGUCGUGUGUCCUGACAAUUGAGCAUGUUAGUGAAAAUAAUAAUCGGGUGUGAAACACCACUUUCUCCCUUUUGGUCAUGUGGUUGAGGGUGUGCGGUCGAUGCCAGGACAUAACAUUGCAGAUGAUUUACGGUUUAACCAUAUUGGUCAAGCUAAUGGUGAUGCACACCGUCUUGCUCGAUUUGCUUUACAUAUAGGUGUAGCUUGCACUUGUUUUCUAUACGUACGAAUUGGGGAACUUAAAGGAAGGUAAGGAAUACUUGGAGUUAACGGAAGACUUGCCUUCUAGGAUUCACAUUUAGUGGGAUAAUGCUUGGUUGUUGUACUUUUUUUUCUUGGUUAAGUUGAAAGCCUCGACAAAAUUUUAUAACGCUAUGUUCUGCACUCUAUCCUCUUGUACAAUAACUGUUAUCAAUGAAUAUCGUACUAUUCUCGGGGCACACUUAAUGGCAUGGAUUAGUACUUAGAAUUUUAAUAAAGAGUUGAGUAAUAUUAACCACCAAUUAGAGAGGAAAUGUUCACUCUCCUUCAUUAGCACCAACUUGACAAAAGUCAGCACGAAUCAGUUUUGGGCGGUUAUAAAUUUACUGUAAAACGUGAGAGCACAGAUUUUUCAGUUCUUCCUUUAGCUCACUAUUUACCCGAUGUUACCGGAGCUUGAAAUUUGCUAAGCAUGUCAAGAGCAUAAUAACGUACAAGCAAAUAUUAAGUUCAGUAUGAAAACAACUACUAGUAGCUGGCUGUAAUUCAAAUAUGCGAAAUAUACACCUCAAACAGGGAGGAAGAGAUGAUGUUAGAAUAACAACAAAUCCUGGCAUGCUUAAAUAAUGUUACGAUCCAAAAUGCUACAAGGUUCUACUUUGCAUACAUCCAUGUGUAACAAACAUGUAUGGUUUUGUGUACCAUUAAGUUAAAGCCACCUCAAGCCGACGGACUUGACCUGCAUCACCGUCAUAAUCUUCCUCACUUUUAAAUAGUUCAUCACGAUCAGUAGCCUUUUUCUUUUGAUUGGCUUCAUCAGGAUCCAGAAGGGCAUUGAGAAUAUGAAUGAGACAGCACGAAUCAAGGGAGAGAUUGUUUAUCAAUAGGCUGCAAACAGAAAAAGGAAACAAGUAUGAAAAGCAUACGGUAUGAACAGCAUACGGUACGGAUGAAGGACCAAAAAAUCAAAGUUAAAACCAAAUAGAGGUCUCCAACUCAGACAUGAAUGACAUUGACAACCGAUUUUGGUAACUGGAUCCAACAAAAUCAAAUGAGGAAAAACAAGUUUUCAGUGACACAAGGUCGAUAAAGUGGAGUAAACGUAGCUCUCAAUAUUCAUACGAACGAUAUAUUCAAUCAGUGAUGGUACUUUUUGUUUGUCAUCCAUGAACUUAAGUAACAGGUCAUUCUUCAUCAUGGCAACAUUUCAUGACCCACAAUCACGUCCUCUGAAAACGUAAAUUUCAAGGAAAAAUAAGACCUCUAUUUUCUAUUUUAUUUUGGAGGAAGAAGUAACAUUCAAUCGAAAUAAGGGUUCACACAGACAUAAAGUAAAAGAAAUGUACCUGAUGAAAGGAUGAAACCAUCAGAGCUAACUACUUAACAAAGAAAAACUCUUACAUAUAUGUUCUGAAAGGUAACAAGCGUUCAAUAGAAGCUGGUAAAAGAGAGGAGUAUACAGUAGAACCAGUUCUUUUACCAGCCAAGCACAUCUCCUAAUGAAUGGAAAGUAACAAAAAAGGAAACAGAACACAUCCUAAUGAAUUCUCUCCCAUUAGGAUCAAAUAAAUGGAUUCUCUCCCAUUUUCCAUUUCCCUGCCCCCUUCAUUCUUUUCUAUGAAGUCGGAUGCUACAAAUGAGAAAGUAACGUUUGGUACCUUUCAGAAACAUAUAUGAAAGAGCUUUUCUUUGUUCGGCAUUACGUAUAUCCUCCCUAAGCCAGACACCACCAGCUUCUACCGGCUAAAAAUGUUAUCAUAUCAGAACCAAGACAUACUAAGGCUGCAGAAAAUCACAUUAAAAUAACACAGCACAAGGAAUAGAUGUUUAGUUCAACGAAAAGAAGGAAGGCCGAUGAACCAAUUACCAGGUCUAUAUGAUACUUCCACACAUACAAGCGGCAAAUCCAUGAUGCCCAUGGUAUAUGUAGAAUCACCGCAAUCAGGAUUGAAAUCUUUGACAGCCAUUAAAAGAGCUUUGAUCUGCACAGAGGAAACAUAAAAUCAUAAUGUGAGAAUAAUUUUAAAACAAUAACAAGAAAAGCAUGGAUAACGCCAUGAUUUGAAAAUCCACAUACUAAAACAGUCAGCAUAGCCUGUGUAGUCAUCAUUGGCUAGCUUAUGUUGCUGAUAGAUAAUAAAACUAUAUGCUUAUCCAACAUUAGAGUGUAUAUGUGCGGUAUGCAGGUCAGUUGAGCAGUCAUAAUUAGUAUAUUUAGGAUUUAACCAUUGUCAAUGAAGUGCACGCAUAUAAUAUAUUACCAUACCAGAUGAUGUUUGCAAAUAUAUUUUGCUGUGCUCCUGUUGUCAUUGACCAAGAGAAGAACAAGAAUCUGGAAAGAUAACCACAACUUAGCACAAACAAAAUCCGAAUUACGGGUUCUAAAACCUAAUUUAAGAUUAUGACUCUGGAAAAUGUUGCUAUCCAACUAUGUCUUUACAAAUAGGGAAGGCUGUGCAGCAGAACCGGGCUCUCCUUAUGUCGAGAGAAGACUGUCAAAGAGCCAUUCGCAACCAUCUGAACGAGCAACUGAAGAGAAUCAUCCUCAAUCAAACUUUGUGCUGCCAAAGUAUGGUUUGCCAGUGCUUUCAUAAUAUGCACAGCAAUCCCAUGUACCCGCAUAAUUAUAGGUUAGAAACAAAAAGAAGGUUAAAAACAUACCAUGAACCGAUAACCUAACAAAUACAAGAGCACAGUAACGUACAAGCAAAGAUUAAGUUCAGUAUGAAAAAAAUGCCACGCGCUACUACUGGCUGUAGUUCAAAUAUGUUAAAUAUACACCUCAAACAGGGAAAAAGACAGAUGUUAGAAUAACAACAAAUCCUGGCAUGUUCAAAAAAUGUCGCGCUUCAAAAUGCUACAAGGUUCUACUUAUACCAAACACAGCGUAACAGCUAUUAAGCCUACUGUGUUUUCAAAAUCAGACUUUGCAUAUGUCAAUGGGUAACAAACAUGUGUAGUUUUAUGUACCAUUAAGUAAAAGCUACCUCAAGCCGAUGGACCUGACCUGCAUCACCGUCAUAAUCUUUCUCAGUUGGAAAUGGUUCAUCACGAUCAGUAGCCUUUUGCUUUUGAUUGGCUUCAUCAGGAUCCAGAUGAGCAUUGAGAAUAUGAAUGAGACAGCACAAUAUCCCCGAAUCAAGGAGAGAGUGUUUAUCAAUAUGCUGCAAACAGAAAAAGGAAACAAGCAUGGACAGCGUAGGGUACGAAUGAAGGACAAAAAAAAUCACUCAAGUCCGUCACAACCAAAGAGGUAUCCUAAUCUGGUGAAAUUAAGAAAUUCUACCCCAGAAGCUAGAACUUGUAGAGCAGUUAACAAACUUGACAUGACAACAGAUUUUGGUAAUUGGAAGGAAAAACAAGUUUUCACUUUUCAGUGACGCAGGGACACUCAAGUGGAGUGAACGUAGCUCAGGAUUCAUACGCACGAUAUAUUCAAUAAGUGAUGGUACUUUUGUUUUGUCAUCCAUGAACUUACAUAGAAGUAACGGGUAAUUCUUCAUGAUGGCAAGAGUUAUAUCUCGUCUGUUGUGUUCAAAUACUUCCUGGAAAAUUCAGAAUCGCGUCCUCUUUUGUAUAUUUUCGUCCAAACCAACAUAAAUCAACACGCAGAGUUGUGGCAGGCAAAAAGACACUAUAAACAGGACAGUAAACUUGAAGGAAAGCAUGCUUUGACUAACAUGGACAAAUACCAAGCAAGACAAAGAUAACACAACAUUUUUGCUAUGAUUUACAAAGUAUGGCUUUCGAUUAUCAGUGGCGGGAACAAUCCUCUCCCCUACAGGCUACAGCCUUUUUAACAGAUGCACAAGGAAUUGGUAUCGUACCAAGUUUGUUGCAUCCUCCUCUUCAUCAUCAGUAAGCUCAAUCAAUGGAUUCUCAUCAUCGAAAAGCAAAAGCAUAGUGCAAAAUACUAAACACCAGCUUAAGAGAAAAUAAACUAAAUAGAAAGCUGAUACUAACACUUGCAUUUUGCAAACACAGUAUCCCCGAAGCACUCUUAGAAGCAGAACAAGAGGAAAAUAAAUGAGGUUUGUCAGUCUAGCACUCAAGCAUAAAGGAAAUUACAAACCAACCAACUCAACUAUUUAAUAACUAGUGGAUAAUUUCUAAUGGCGUUUCCAAUAUGGUUAUUCGAUCGUAAUUAGUUCGGGAAUUGAAGUACCAAUCAAGGUGAGAUACCGGCGAGUUUCUGCGGCGGAAGGUCCAGCGCAGGUCGACCUCGUUUCUUCGAAGUCACCGAUCGGCAGGUCGACCUCGUUUCUCAUGGUCCUCAGUGCUCUGAGUCUGAGUGUGAGCCUUAGUCCUCUUCUGCUACUCAACAACGAACGAACGAACGAACCAAAUCAGGUCAAAUUGUACAGACAACUUCACAGAAUUGAGAGAGGUAGAGAGAGAGGGGAGAAAAUAAUGAAACGUACUCGACGGUGGUUCCGUGGCGGUGGCUGACGGUGGCUCCUCCAUGGCCGACGAGCACAAGUCAUAGCUCCAAGGACGACAUGUCAUUUUUCAGAGUUCACACUGAUUUGAAAAAAAUAAAUAAAAUAAAACAAAUUAAGCACAUGUCAUAGCCCCAAGGACGACAUGUCAUUUUUCAAGUUCACACUGAUUUUUUUUUUUUUUAAAAUAAUAAUGAAAAAGAAGGAAGAAGGAGAAGGAGGUACCCAUGCAAGUCAUUGGCUUGGCUUGGCUUAUGUGGGGGUCCCACUGUCAAAGUUUGGCUGUGCAAUUAAAAGAAGGAGGAGGAUUGUCCAAGUUCCCGUGCCCUCCCAUGCCUUCCUGAUUGUGUGGUCACGGUUAAACCACGUUAAUAUUUUAUAUUAUUAUUUAUUUUUGUCUUAUUAUCUCUAUAAAAAAAUAAUAUAAAAUAUUAACGUAACUUAACUGUGACCACACAAAACAGAAGGGCAUGGAAGGGCACCGAAACUUGGAGGGCAGACAAUCCUCCUCCUUAAAAGAAAAGGGAGAAAGGGCUAGCAUUGCGCUGCACCGUUUGUAAGGGUAUUUUGAACCAUGUUGGACUUGCAUGUACCAUUUUUUUACUUUUCUUUUAUUUUUUUUUAUAAAAACUUGUACGUGUACAUGUUAUCACAAAAGGGAUUAGUGUAUUUUUUUUCUUUUUUUUCCUCAAUUUUUCUAAAUCGGCAUUUUUUAUUUUUAUCAAUUCUACACCUAUUCGUGGUUGCACAUGACUCAUGUUUUAUUUAUUUGCAAUCCAGGGUGAAUACCGAGUUCAGUUAAAAUUAUGAUGAUUUAUUUAUGUUAACUAGUAAACAUACAUACAGAAAUUAAACACGAGUGAAGCCCGCACAAUGUUAGUAAUUAAAAUCUUGAUUUAAGAGGGAAUGGUUUUAGGAUUAACGACCGAGAAACAAUUCAUCAUGUGUCCAAAUUUUGUACCUAUCAUUUAAUGUGUCAAGCAACAGUUAAAUUUUAUUGUGAUAAUUGAGCUAGAUUUAUGUAAAUUUUUUGAGCAAUUAUAUAAUAUAUCUCUCACACAUUUUCUUCGAUCCAAUGAUCGAAUAUUAAAAGGUGUAAGUGAAAGGUAAAAAGAGUGUGUUGGUAAAUAAUCUUGACCGGGCUAAUUUCUCCAACUCUUGAACGUUUAAAGAUGCUAAGAAUAUCACAAGCUCCCUUUUCCUUGCUUCCAAGGCCUUCGGGGUACCAAUCACAUGGAUGCUGGAACACACUAAGAUUACAUGCCCAUCAACCUUAUCCCCACGAUUCUCUUCUCUCUCUCUUUCUGGAGGCCCACGUGUUCACUUUUUGGGAACGCACACUCCACUGAUAACAAAUUGAAGGUUUUCUGUUUCACUUUUCUGUAUCGACCAACUUUUUUUAUUUUUUUAUUAAAUAAAAAACAUUAAUUAAAUUUUAUGGUGAAUCCCUUUCUUGUAAGGGAUUGGCACAUUGAAGAAAGGUUGCCUUAUACCUGUACGGACGGGUUUGCGGUCCCAGAUAAAACUAAUAACCACCAGAGAAGUCCACAAGCUUUCAGUGGGGAUUACAGGUGGGUCCCAUCCUAAGGCCUUCAUGUUUCAGUGCGCCGCAUAGCAUUAGCAUAGGGGGCUGUAAUGAUCGCUCUGUCUCUGACCCUCUGUGCCAACCCACAAAAUCAAACAAUCAUUUUUUUUAAUUUUUUUUAAAGAUAUUGCUGACGUUUCAUUUUCCAUGGUGACCAACUCUCUUUGCCAUUUCUAUGAAUGACUGUAUACUUGUGCCUUGUCAUUCAGGAUUACGAUCUGGUGAUAUUUUUUUAAUUUGUGAGUGGGAUGUCUUAUGUUCAAAUCUUGUGGAUGACGAAUUCGAUACCAAAUUAGGUUGCCUAUUGUGUGGCUUCCAAACUCCUCCUCCCCUUAAUGUAAAAUAUAUCGUUGUACUAAAAAAAAAAAAAAAAAAAAAGACUUGUGCCUUGUAUUUGGUUAAAGGUGUUGCUACGGAGACUAAUUAUUUAGGCCAAAGUUUGUAACAUAAUUUUUAUGCAUUUUUUCCUGUGUUUGCACGCGUUUAGUUAUUUUCUCCAUCACCGUAACCUAGGAAUGUUUUUGGCUAGCCAACAAAUGUGUUCAAGAGUUAAAUGUAGAGUUGAUAUAACUCGACGAUCUGAUUGAUGUUUGGCAAUACACUUGUAUACACAUAUGUGACUUGACGAACAAGAAACGCAAACAAGGCGAUUAAUUUGGAUAUUGAUGGUUAAAAUGUUCAUAAGAGAAAAGAAAAAGGGCCAAUAUUAGUGAUUACAUCCAUUUCUCUUUGUUUGGGCCCAAAAAUAUUGUUUUGGGGCGAGUUUAGAAUUGUUCUCGGCCCAGUGUUGGUUGGGCCGAGUUUAGAAUCCUUCUCGGCCCAAAGGCCGUGUACAGGUGUCGUUGGGGGUUAUUCAGCUCACGGGCCGCGCAGUCGAAGUUGGCCAUAUCCCAUCGGGAAUUGGGGAUGUGGAUGAGUCCUGUUAUGAGAAGGAAUUUCGAUAGGAUCAGGAUGCUGGAAUUGAAUACGGCCUGGUAACGAGUUAUGUUCAAAGUCCUAGUAGGAAUAGGAUUGGCCGAGAUAAAGUUGGAUCAGGGAAAAGAGUUCUAAUCCGGGAGUGAGUGGGAUUCAAUACAGGUUGGCUGCUAUAAAUAGAGAGGGAAGACAUCGAAACAAGCUCUCUCUAAUUCAACACACAAAUUGCCCUGCGCAUACCCUCGCUUUACGCGAAACUUCUAAACAACCUUGAGAUUUUUGUUUUCCCUUUUCCGCCAACACAUCUUCAGUUUGGAUAAACAGCACUGUGGAGGCAAAAUCAGCCGAUCGUGGAGCACCUUCAGUUUGGAUAAACAGCACUGCGACAGGGCCGACUGGUUAUCUAUCUAAGUCUUGAUCGAGAAGGAUUUUCGAAUCCUUAUCGGCAGAGGUCAUCUCGGCGAAGCGAGAUGUUACAAGUUACUAUACUCGGUGAUUUGAACGCCGAGUCGUUUAUGAUUGGUUAUUCGCAAGUAGGUUUUAAAGUUCGGCAUUCUGACGGGCGAACCACUUUCAUAAUCAAGACAUAUAUUUGUUUUGAAUACUUGUGUCCCUAUACUCUGAUGUCGAUUCGGCGUGCUUAUACUCUUACGAAUAUAAUCACGGUGACCGAAUCCGGCGUCGACGAUUUGUGAACUUCGCAGAACUAGUAGCUUUGUCUUCAAGCUCUAGAACCUGAAGGCCGAGACGUGCUUAUACUCUUACAAAAUUGAUGAAAAUGACUAUAGCUACACAUUUUGAUAAGUUGAGGGACCAAUAGUAAUGAAUUUUUAGUUGAUGGACCAUUGCUCCAAUUUGAUUAAAGUUGAGGGACCAUUGCUACAAUUUUCUCUUAACUUUAUGCACCACCAUUAUUGAACGACUUGGCUUGGAUAAACUCCGUUAGGCUCGGCUUGGAGCCAAAUAUUUCCCUCCCAAGACCACCACCACUCACCAAGACGCAAACCACACGAGCUCAGCAAGCUCUCUAGCACCUCGUUUAAACGUUUUCCUCAUUCUCCCACACACACUCUUUCUCUAGUUAACCACUCCUCCCUCACUCUCUUAGAACCCCAAAUCCUCUGAGAAAUCUAACACGACCGCUGUCACAUUCCUUGCUCCACCGACGUCGGAAUGCCUCCGGCGGGUCAAAACCCAAACCUUUUUUUACAUUGUUUUGGAUUAUUAAACUGUUGAAUUAUUUUACGUGAUAUAUAAGAAUUUCGCUGUAAUUUGUGAGAAACCCUAGUUCAUAAAAUUUAUGAAUAUGUUUCUUAUAUUAAUGCAUUGCUUUGGACAAUAACACCAUGCGCAUUUGUCAAAUUAUUAAUUUGUUAGAGAAAAUAAAAAUGGUAGUACAUGCUUCAAGAAAAAGACUAACUGAGCUACUUAUGAAGACAAUAACACCAUAUGUCAUUUCUCAUGCAUAGAAAUGAGAGGGAAAAAUAAAAUUGAGGAUAAGAAUUAGCGAGAAAAAAUAGAGUGAAAGUUUUGCUUAUUUAUUUAUUUUUAGUUUUUUAAUCAUUUUUAAGAGUGAAAUAACUUGACUAUCUUCACAUGUUGUGCACGGUCUCACUUAACGGAAAUAUGGAUGAAAUAUAUGAAAAACUAACGGUAGGGGGCAAAUCGGCUAAAAAAAUUAGUUCGAGUCCUUAAUUUUCCAAUAGCAAAGUUAAGAGGGAAAUCAAAAGUUAGGUGAAAGUUCAGAGAAUAAAUCGACAGUUUUAGGUGAAAGUUCAGAGAGUAAAUCGACAGUUUACUCAAAAUUUAAUAAUGUUCUCCCUUUGAAAAAUAAUUGUUGCCGGUCCUUUUGUAAUUGCACUGGAACAUACUAGCAGCUAGCCACCCGCCAUAUCCCAAUCCAUCCCAACAUCACUUUUCACUACUAGUCAACUUUCCAAAAGACCAACUCUACGCAACAUUUUUGUACGGUUCAACGGUUAUCAAAUGCCAAAAGACGAGAAAAAUUAAUAUCGCCUUGCAUAACUCGAUGACAUAUAAGAAUAAUUAAAAUCUAGAUGCUGGAGAAACAAUAGCGAAUAUGAGCAAAACCAAAUUAAAAGACCCGUUUGGUAACUAUUUGAUUUUUAAUUUUUAAUUUUUUUUUCAUGCUUGAGAUAGAUAGAUAGCGGAAACGCAUACAAAUUUCUUUUGUUUUAUAUUUAUUGAAGCCAACAAGUAACCACUGCUCUUCUAGUUAAAACUCAACAAGGUCAAAAAGUUACAACUUAUCUCAACCAACUGGGGAUAUUAUAAGGGGUUUGCUAUUCGCAUAGUCUUUUUACUUUUUACUCACUCAUGUUAAUUUUUGUUCAUUGAUCUUCUUCAAUUCAUUCCCAAAAAUUAAGAUGAGUGUAUGAGAGAAAAAAUGUGAAAUCCCGUCUCCGAAUUCCAUUAUUUAUUUACGUAUUUAGUAUUUACGCAAUUUUUAUCUUUUUAUCUAUGUUUGCUGAUUAUUGAUUAGAGUUUAGUAUAUAUAACAGGAUUUUGGACACGUCUUGUCCAACAUGUAUAGUUUUGUGCGUUUGUGCCGUCGAAUUAAGAUGUAGGAUAAUAGAUACGUGUCUAAAAUCCUACGUAUCGAAUGUGAAGAUGUUUUUCUCAUUGGGUGUGAACUAGAGGUAAGGCGAACAACGCAUGCGUCUUAGCUCUCACUUAAAUUAGACCUCAUACCUUUCAUCAUUUAUCGUAUUGUUGAUAAAAAAGAAGAGGACACAAAAAUAUCUCAUUCUCAUAAAUUUAAAGAAAACUAAUGAAAAAGGCUUGAAAACUUUGAGUUUUAACGAUAAGGACAAAAUAAAGGGUAAAGUGAAUAGUACUAGGUUUGACUUUUUAGUAUAAAAAUGUGAUUUUUUGUUAAAGUGAACAGUAUUGCGGGUUUUUCGUUAAAACUCCCUAAAUUCAAUGUGACGUGCCUUAUAUUCAUAUCGUUGUGGGAAAAAAAAAUUCAUAUUAAGGUACUAAAGUAUAUGCAGGCCUCAUUUUAUUACCGCGUUAGACCUCAUUUUACAUUGGAAUGAUUUUGAUGUGGAGAAAUAAUUCAACCUCGAUAAAAUAUCUUUAUGUAUUCAUUUUUUAUUAUCUUAUGCACCACCACCACCACAUCUAUUAUACUCGUAACGAGGCCGACCGAGCUCGGUUUCGAACCACUAUUAGACUAGACAUUGUAAUGCUUAGAAUUUCUCAAGAAACAUGUAUGUUUAGUAAUCCACGGAAAUCACAAUGAAAAUAAGGAGUAAUGUGGCACGGUAACAACGAAGUUGAAAAGCGACUGGGGCCCACACAAAAAUGGAGAGAAAGAUAAAGAUGGAGGAUGUCAGGGAGAGUCUUUGAGAAAGAUGAGAUGCGUGUGAGAUUUGUGUGUGUGUGUGUGAGAGAGAUUUGAGAGUGUGAGGUUUAUUGAAUACGGUUCGGGCUGGGGACCUGUGACUUUAGAAAAUUGGAUUCGGGCCGCCGCCCUGUUUACUUAGACCCUACCCACCCCGCCCCAUUUUGUAUAUAAAAUAAUAUGAACCCGUCUCGAACCGCUAAUACCCGCCCCUACCCGCGAGCCCAGAGCCCGUUUGCCGACCCCUACAUUGUAAUGCUUAGAAUUUCUCAAGAAACAUGUAUGUUUAGUAAUCCACGGAAAUCACAAUGAAAAUAAGGAGUAAUGUGGCACGGUAACAACGAAGUUGAAAAGGGACUGGGGCCCACACAAAAAUGGAAAUUGAUAUGCUGAUACGGGGUUUGAAGGAGCUAGCGGGUAUUUUUUUAUGGCCGUAGGAUCUCAAAUAACAACUAAUCUGUCUGUCAUGCUUUAAUGGGGUGGAUAGAUUUUUAAUUUUCACGUACCUCUUCCUUAAUUUCAGCCGUCGGAUCAAAAUAAUUUGAAAAAGAAACGAGCAAAGAGUAUGGGAAGGGCACCAUCAACUGUAAAAUAUAUUUUUCGGUCAAUUCAAAGGUCACAUCAUUUCCUCCUCUCUCACAGCUACCCAACGCAGAAAAAGAACAUGAGUGCAUUUCGACAGUUCUUCAAGCGGCUGACUGGAGGCAAAGCAGGAGGUACCUCCGCUGCCGCCGUUGAACCAAAGGUGAAGGUGGAAUACGAUGUUUCUUCGUCCCACCCCAGACAUGUGAUCAAAAUUUUCAUCCAUCCAGAGGACGAAGAGAGUAUCAACCUCCUAGCCGGCAGUGCAGAUCUUUUCUGGAAGUCCGGCAGAACACUGUUAAAGGCGAAGGAGAGUAGCCUGAAGGAAGCGUUGAAGGGUGAAGGCUGUUGCUUCAGCCAGCAGAGUGAGGAGCGCAUCGUUUCCCUGCUUCACCAGUCGUGUGAGAACACAACCCGUCUUGAGUACCUGGAGCAGGUUGCAGAACAUUACGCAAAAUAUGGACUCACAAAGGGGUCUCCUCCUCCUCCUGUCCGUCCUCUACCACCGUCGAAGCAGGAGGCAAAUGGCAACAACAACGGGAAAGGCAACGGCGACGGGAAAGGGCAAGGGCAAGGGAAAGGCGAGGGCGACGGAACCAUUCGAGUUGACAUUUUAAAAGGUAAACUCGGGACUCUCAAAUGUCAAUGAGUAAAAAAAUUAAUUAUGGCAUUCUUCUUUCUUCUGUUUGCAGAUUAGGGUUUGUUUAGAGGUCGUUUUGGGAUUUAUUUUUUUCUGAAAGUCUUUUUAGAGGAGGAAGGUUGCAUAUAUUCACUGUUUUAACCCUCUUGAUUUUUCGUUUGGAUUUGAUUCAAUUCGUGAAUUUGCCAAUUAUGUUUGUUUUUGUGUGAUUAGAAAAUGGAAAGACAUUGUUGUUGGGAAAUAAAAAUUCAUGAAAGCAGUUUUUAUAAUUUUGGUGUGGUAGUAAAUUGGUAAUGAAGGCACUGCAUUGACUUUUUAUUGUUCAAUCGUAUGCAGGAUCAUUUGGUGGAAGAGCAGAAUGAUGUGAAUAAGAUUUUGAACAUUCAGGCUAAGAAAGGAACAAAAGAGUUUUUUGAUAGUUUCUUUUAGUGAACGAGGCAGAUUUUGUCAGUAGGUUUUGUUGCUCGAUGAAUUUGGAUUGUAAAAAUUGGAAUGCUUUUUAGCUGGUUAACCAACAUAUGAAACCUCCAUCUUCGUUUGUGGGUAUUUUGAACAAAGACUGUCUUCCAUGUCCUCUUUAGGUGGGGGGAUUUUUUUGUAUAGGGAUUUGGGAUGACGCUGGUGACCUUUGUGGUGGUGUCUGUUCGUAUCCUGCUUCUCUUUAGUUAUGUUUCUGGGUGUGCUGGGCACUCCUCUGUUUGUUUCUUGGCCUUGGGCCUUGUUGGUUCUAUGAACAUAUGAAACCUAUCCUAUCCUAGGCUCCUUAAUCCUUGCUAAGCUAAAGCUAAAAAGAAGCCCACUAUAUAGAAUGUGAAUAAAACCCGAGUUCCUUCAACUCAUCGUCAAAUCCUCCUCGUUUGCUUUUGAGCCCUUAAUAUUUACUCAUCGCCAUGGGCAAUUCCAUCUCCCACAGGCAAUCCCAUGCCCACCGGACAAGCUCUGUGCAUUAGUUCAAUAAGCCCCUCACCGUUGCUGAGCAAGUCAUCGUGGAAUUCGGGUCUGCUGUCUCCCAAUAAAGGGCAACCCCGGCCCAUUGCCUGCAGACGACACGGAAAAGGUUUACUUAAUGCUGCCAAUUGAGCGAGGGAAACCAGUGUUGUACAUCGUCAUCCUAAGAAAUCCGUGGUGUUCAUUUUACGUGCAAAUUUGGUUUUACAAUCGAUUUCGCCAAGGUUUUCACCUUUGUUUGCUAGAAUAUGCCUGGCAAGUGAUCCCGGGCAAGCUUUCGUGUUGCCAAACAAGGACAAGGAAUAUUUUCAUUACAUUAGAUUGGCGACUGGAGAUUUAAGGAAUUAAUAGGGAGAGAGAUGAUGAGGGAGCUUUCAUAUAGUUUUGACAAUCUAGCUGAAAAUACAAGAAACUUGUGGAAACUUGUGGAAACUGAAUGGUGUGCCAUAUAAGGCGGUUGUGAUGCCAAAAGAAUUUGAAUUGAAGUUGCCAUGGAGAAUCGCCGGUGAAUCUUCCAUAGGGUUUGAGGUGGAAGAGAACCGCUGGGUGUGGAAAGAGAUUUCAGUUUUGUUUAUUUCUUUUUUCAGUUUUAAUCAAAGGGUGAAUUAGGAAUUUUAAGAAAAUAUUUUUUGUAUUGGGUGUAGAAAGAGGUUGAAUGGAUUCCAAUAAAAUUUCCCUUAGUUUUAUCUCAGACUGAUGGUAAUUAUGCAAUAGGAUAAAAAUAAUAAUUAAUAUUUAAAAUUUAAGUUGGGGGUAGAGAAGUUACAUGAGUUUAAAUAAAAUUUCUCAUUCUAAUUUCGAAUGACCCUCGUGGCUUUUGGUUGAAUGAGUUUUGUAAUGAAGUAGAUUAUGGAAAAAAAUGGAAAUUACUGUCAUCAGUGUUUUUGUGAAUUAAUUUAAUAUUUAUGCCUUGAAUAGAUUUGUGGCCAAUAAAUUAGAUUUAGAAUUCAUUCUUUGAUUCCGUAAUGUUCUCCUUAAUUACUACAUGGAACUUGCCCGGGAUUCUGGAGGCAGACGAAAUGAAUUUCAGAAGUGACAUGAUAUGAGAUGCAUCACAGGAAUGUUUCUGGUGUAUUGAAGCUAAGCUCUAAACAGUCCGAAAUAGAAUAAUCUACUCAAGCUAAGCUCUAAACAGUCCGAAAUAGAAUAAAAGAUAAAAUAAAUCUUUGAUUCGAGCGGUAAAUGUAACAGAAAAAGGGACAAAUCUUGGCAGAUGGCGCUGCUGCUACGGUUGAUGAAGUAACCCAUGCACACUCCUAAGAAAAGCUCCAACUACCUUUAACAGAAGCCGAGUUGAGUAGCUUCUCACUCGCUCAUCUUUCAAAUGGCAUCAAUAAACCGGAUGUCAAAAGAAGGGGGAUUAAUCUGCCACACAUUUAUGUUUGCGUAUUCCUCCAAACAUUGUUUCAGUUGGGCUUCACUGUAUCCCUGUUCCAAAGCAACCAUUCCACAUGGCUUGAGACAAAAUAGGUAGAAUUUCGGACAGGAUCAUCACGUAUUUUCACUUUUGAGAUAUAUUUUGAAUUUCUGCUACUCUGAUUUAUAUAGCUAUAUUCUUAUCACUUCCAAGUUUUGUACUAGUUGUUUGACAUGAUAAGCAGUGCAGUUCUCUGACCAUCGAUCACAAGAUGCUUUGCAAAAACUUACCUUCCUGAAAUCAGUACUGCUGAGCCUUCCAAGGUAAAAGUGCUGCAAAAUUUACCGAAUAACUGAUGGCUCAAGUGGACUGAAACCAAGAGCCGGUGAUACUUUAUUCUGGUGAAAAUAGACAACAUGCCUAGCCAUCUCAACAUCACUAUCCCUAUCUGCUCGAUCCAGGAUUAACCAUCAAGGAUCAAAUCUCGACAAAAGGGCCAGUUGAAGAUUAAUGUUUUCAGCAGGAGUUCUACGCAGGUUAUUUCUCCCCCUUUAAGAAUAUAGCAACCAUAGUAAGAGUUCGCAUAGAUUUUACACGAAGAAAGUUAGCUUCCAGGUUCCCGCAGUAAAAAAGGUACCACAUAACUAGAGCAAUAUGAUUUAGAUGAGAAGCAACAAAGAGUAAUGCCCCAAAUGAACCAGAUUAAAAAGAAGUAGAAAGAUUUGUACCGUGCUGGAUUAGCUGCAGCAAGGACAGGAGUUCGUGCACUCAAAGACGUAGUGAUCCCAGCCUUGGCAAUGCUGACAGUCUGCUGCUCCAUAACUUCAUGUACGGCUGCACGAUCUAAUUCAUCCGUCUUAUCAAGUUCAUCAGUAGCACAUAUUCCCAUAUCCGCUAGCACCUGAAAUGAGUUAAUACUUCCGUAGUUCAACACCCAGAAUCACUAGAAGAAUAAUCAUAUACAAAGCCUAAUAGACAACUAUGGGGGAUCUGAUUUAAUUAGGGAUUCUAAAUUGAACUGGUUAUGCAUUGACUCCGCAAAACUAGCUGGGUUCUACUUCCCCUCUUCAUUUUCUAGCUAUUGCUUCUGCAUCAAAGGCGCACAUUUGGUGUGAUGCAAUGAAAGUUUAACAAUAAGAAAUCUUGAGUAUUAUGCAUAUAUUCGACAAGUAUUUACUGUUUUGUAUAAGUAUGGAUGAAAAAAUAAUAUACAUAUAACCGAAAGGAGCAUAUGUAUCUCACCAAUGCGCCUCCUUCCAGGACCAAUCCAUUUGUGACGGGAUUCUUCUGAACAGCAGCAGUUACUGUUAGACCAACUCCACUGCUUCCUUUUCCAGUUGUACAAACUCCCCUAGGUCCUACAUUAAUUAUGUGUUUGAGAAGCUGGCUCUUUCACUUCACUAUAGAGGAUACAUCCAAAUGAUAUCCAUAUCUUAUGAAUGCCGAAUUCUCAGAAUGGUAAGCAAAAUUCAGUUUGACAACAUGCAUAAUUGAGUAAGGUGGUACCUGGUUACAUUGAGAGCUUACCUUCAUUCCAUCGUUUAGUUUCCUGUGAGGGGCACCCACUAGGAGCAGAAGCAGAGCCUUCUUGAUAUCUUCACGCCCAUGUAUUUCAGGUGCCAGAGAUCAACCACGCUUUUCAUAUAUGUUACCAUCCUCAGCCAAACGUGCAACUUGUUCUUCCUCAUCUCCUAUAAGUUCAUAACUGCGGCAUAACACAAGUUAGUACACGGCACCCAUCAUCACCUAAGAAUUGAAGAUUAUUUUUCAAAGUAGGUAAAGGAAUGAUAAGUUUAGCAAAAACUGCACUACAAGCACCAGAUAAACUCUAUGUUAAGAGUUGAAAAGAUGGGAGCAAUAUAUAGUUAAAAUUUUGUAUGAAUCAAUAAAAGUGGAUUUGAAGAAACUAGCACAAGUAUAGACCCAGUGCCAUUGGAUCAAUUAUACUCCGAAGAGGGAGAGAAAGAGAUGGUUUGAAAUAUGUUGAAAAUGUAUGGGUUUUUAGCUCGUAAUAAAAUGUAAAGAUGCUCUUACGUAAAUUUCACUAGAAUACGUAUGAAAAAAAAAAAAACUAGUCAACAUGGAAUAGAUUUUACACGAAGAAAGUUAGCUUCCAGGUUCCAGCAGUAAAAAAGGUACCACAUAACUAGAGCAAUAUGAUUUAGAUGAGAAGCAACAAAGAGUAAUGCCCCAAAUGAACCAGAUUAAAAAGAAGUAGAAAGAUUUGUACCGUGCUGGAUUAGCUGCAGCAAGGACAGGAGUUCGUGCACUCAAAGACGUAGUGAUCCCAGCCUUGGCAAUGCUGACAGUCUGCUGCUCCAUAACUUCAUGUACGGCUGCACGAUCUAAUUCAUCCGUCUUAUCAAGUUCAUCAGUAGCACAGAUUCCCAUAUCCGCUAGCACCUGAAAUGAGUUAAUACUUCCGUAGUUCAACACCCAGAAUCACUAGAAGAAUAAUCAUAUACAAAGCCUAAUAGACAACUAUGGGGGAUCUGAUUUAAUUAGGGAUUCUAAAUUGAACUGGUUAUGCAUUGACUCCGCAAAACUAGCUGGGUUCUACUUCCCCUCUUCAUUUUCUAGCUAUUGCUUCUGCAUCAAAGGCGCACAUUUGGUGUGAUGCAAUGAAAGUUUAACAAUAAGAAAUCUUGAGUAUUAUGCAUAUAUUCGACAAGUAUUUACUGUUUUGUAUAAGUAUGGAUGAAAAAAUAAUAUACAUAUACAUAUAACCGAAAGGAGCAUAUGUAUCUCACCAAUGCUCCUCCUUCCAGGACCAAUCCAUUUGUAACGGGAUUCUUCUGAACAGCAGCAGUUACUUUUAGAUACAUUAAUUACUUCCUUUUCCAGUUGUGUAAACUCCCCUAGGUCCUACAUUAAUUAUGUGUUUGAGAAGCUGGCUCUUUCACUUCACUAUAGAGGAUACAUCUAAAUGAUAUCCAUAUCUUAUGAAUGCCGAAUUCUCAUAAUGGUAAGCAAAAUUCAGUUUGACAACAUACAUAAUUGAGUAAGGUGGUACCUGGUUACGUUGAGAGCUUAACUUCAUUCCAUCGUUUAGUUUCCUGUGAGGGGCACCCACUAGGAGCAGAAGCAGAGCCUUCUUGAUAUCUUCACGCCCAUGUAUUUCAGGUGCCAGAGAUCAACCACGCUUUUCAUAUAUGUUACCAUCCUCAGCCAAACGUGCAACUUGUUCUUCCUCAUCUCCUAUAAGUUCAUAACUGCGGCAUAACACAAGUUAGUACACGGCACCCAUCAUCACCUAAGAAUUGAAGAGGUUUUUCAAAGUAGGUAAAGGAACGAUAAGUUUAGCAAAAACUGCCCUACAAGCACCAGAUAAACUCUAUGUUAAGAGUUGAAAAGAUGGGAGCAAUAUAUAGUUAAAAUUUUGUAUGAAUUAAUGAAUCAACAAAAGUGGAUUUGAAGAAACUAGCACAAGUAUAGACCCAGUGCCAUUGGAUCAAUUAUACUCCAAAGAGGGAGGGAAAGAGAUGGUUUGAAAUAUGUUGAAAAUGUAUGGGUUUGUAGCUGGCAAUAAAAUGUAAAGAUGCUCUUAUGUAAAUUUCACUGGAAUACAUAUGAAAAAAUAAAACUAGUGAAUUAAGAAUGAACACAAACCUGCAUAGAAAGCUUUGCUACAAUGGAAGUUGAAGCAUAUGAAACUCGUAAAUAAACUGCAACCGAUGACAUGGAAUAGAGGAAAAAGCAAGUUUCCAAUAUUAAUCUGAGAUAAACCUCUGUUGAACUUACAUUGUAUGAAAUGUCACCAUAUUUUCAAAACACAUACUACAAACCAAGCUAGCUAAUAUCUAUCGACAUUCAUUUACUAAUUCAUGAAUAACGAACCAGUAAGCAGAAAGUUUAAAGCGAAACAUGAAGUGUAUAAGUGUUACCAUACAUGUCCAGUGACUGAUUAUGCAAUGUAACUUCUGGCAUGAGAUACUAGCUAGUCAAAACAAGAUUAAGAUGCAUAUGAUCCGUUACCGACCACACAAUUAAGUGAAUUUUCACACAUGUAAACCGAAAUUUCAUUCAAACAAGCGCAAUAGGAAUUAGGAUUUUGCUUUGAACUCACAAGUAGCGCUUGACUUCAGGAGGCAUCUUCUGAUGUGGAUCCGAACCAUCCAUAUUCUCUGGUCCAUCAUCAGACCUCUGAGUCAUCAGAAUGUCAUGAUCAUGAUCUGUCUCCGUGGGCUCCGGCAUGAGCUCAUCAAUACCAUCUGCAAAUACACCAAUAUAACACCCGAGUGUUCACUUCAACUCGAUUGCGGGAUUCUUCAUUCAUUUCUGUGUACUGCAUGUGAGGUAUAAGAAAAUUAACAAGUCGUUCACAAAGACAAUAAUCAUAAUUUAGGCCUUGGCAACAAAAGGCAUAGGCGGAACUUACACUGAACAAGUCCUCAAUAUCAAUCUCGAUAGCUCGAAAUUUGCGGUUUGCAACUUCCUGCUGGAAAGGAAAAUAACAUUUAGAUACUGCUGCAGCAUAAUUCAAAAAAAAAAAAAAAAAUUAGAAAAUGAAUCCGGCAUUCAAUCCAACGGGAAAUUAGGGUUUUCAGACAGCACAGUCAUUGCUUAUUAUAAGAUGUGGUAAUGAAGAAGAUGAGGAGGGGAACUCACAAGGAUGCGCAUAUAUUUGGUUCGCCAUUCGAAUUGGCAAAGUUGGAAAGGAAAUCCUUCGCAAGCUCUGUCAAAAAACAAAAAUCAAAAUAAUAACGAGAUCGAGUAUUCACCAAGAAGAGAGAGAGAGAGAGAGAGAGAGAGAGAGAGUGAUGGGCAGUCGUCACACACAGAGAGACUUGAAAUGAAUGAGAGUUCAGAUUUGGCGGCAAAUGGGGAUGUGGGUGAGGGUUUUUAAACGGUUCAUGUACUUUAGAGUAGGGCUGGAAAAAAAUCCCAAAAAUACCAAACCGAACCGAAAUUCCCCAAACCGAAAAAUUCCCGAAAUUUCGGUACGGGAAUCGGUCUCACGUUUUUGGGAUUUCGGUAUUCCCAAACCGAACUGAAAAAUAUACAUAUAUAUUAUUUAAUUUUUAAAUAUAUAAUUAGAAUUUUAAUAGCCGUUGGAUUAUGUUGAGAUUUAAUCUCAGCCGUUGCAUGUAAAUCAAAGUUAUCAACCCCCCAACCCGUGUCUGACUCUCUCUCGCUCUCUCUCUCUUGCUCUCUCAACCUCAGACCUAAAACCUCACCUCACCUCACCUCAGUAUCUCCUCGCCGAUUUGUCUCUCCUCCCACAUCCGUCGCCUGAAUCCCGAAUCUACCCAAACCAGUCGUCAUUCCUCUCAGUCAUCACUCCUCACCUUAAUCGCACCUUUACCCAUUGUCCUUACCAUCCGAAUUCGGCUCCUAAAUCGAGCUUUCGGUCUCAUUCCGCACUCCUCCUCCUCACUGCAAAAGGUAAGAAAUUCCUGCAAUAAACUCAACCAAAGUUCAUACAAAUUGUUUGAUUCCAAAUUCGAUUAGAAAAUUUGAAUUUGGGUUUCUGAAUUAGGAAUUUCUGAAAUUAGGAUUUCUGAAAUAGGGCUUUUGGAAUUAGGGAUUUUGAAUCGACGGAGAGGUUGCAGAGGGAAUAUGAGAAGUUAAUGGAGUGUGGUACAACUUACAAGCUGCUGUUGUUAUUCCCUUGUUUGUGUUAAAUUAAAUAUAUGAAAUCUGGUUCAUAUGCAUUCGAAUAGACCGAGGCAUUUCGCUUCUUUCUUUGUUUGUUUUAUAUUCGUUUUGGGUGAGGGGAUGAAUGAGGGCCCUGGGUUGUAAAUGGUGUUGAUUAGUAUUGGACUCGGAAUAUGGAUUAAAAACAUAUUGAUUGCAGGGAAGUGGAUUAAAAAGUUAGUCUAAAAUGUUACCAUGAUAUAUCAAUUUUCUUUUGUUGUCCAUAUACAGAUUGUUAACUAUUACAUAUUUGAAAAAUGGUUUCAUAUUGGAGAUUCUCUUAAACUUAUUUUUCGAUUUAGCAAGCAUUGAGAACUUGUUUUUGCUCUUUUCUUUCUCUCUGAAACUUCUAAUGACUAACUGAUUAGAUCCUUAAGCAUUUGCAUAACAUUAUCUGUGCACAACUAUUGACUAUUGUGCACAGAUUCAGAUUUCAAAUUGCACAAAUUGCACAAAUUGCACAGAUUGCAUAUUUUAGUCUAACAAUAGAUUGGGCCGCAUAUUGGCAUUCUGCCCAAAAGCCCAAAAUUUCAAUAUAAAAUGUUGAAUUUUAGCCCAAAAGCAUAAUAUGUCAAAUUUAGUCCAAAAGCCCAAAACCAUUUCGGGAUUCCCGAUUUGUCCCGAAAUCCCGAAACUAUUUCGGGAUUCCCGAAAAUUGGGAUUCCCGAAAAUUUGGUUUGGGAUCGGUAUUGAAAUUGGGAUUCUCGAAAAUUUUGGUUUGGGAAUCGGGAUUAGGGUUUCGGUAUGGGAUCCCAUACCGAACCACCCCUACUUUAGAGUGUGGUUGAAAAAUGAGUGAGCCAAAUUCCGAUUCAAGAGUGAGAUAUCCAUUAAAUAAUUAUGUGUCUAUCUGUCAUCUGUCAGAAUCAAAUAAGUCAUUUGUAUAUCAAUUAUCUAUUGUAUCUAUUCCUAACAGAGUGCAUGAGGCCUUAGCAGAUUCCCGGUGGAAAGAUGCAAUGAACGAGAAAUUGAGAUCGUUGAAGAAGAAUGCUACCUGGGAAAUAACUGACUUGCCAGCCGGAAAGAAAUAUGUGGGAUGCAAAUGAGUUUAUAUGGUGAAAUACAAAGCAGAUGGAACAGUAGAUCGCUUUAAAGCACGAUUGGUGGCAAAGGGGUAUACACAGAAAUAUGGCAUCGACUACAUUGAUCAAUACAAUUCGUGUUCUAUUGUCCUUAGCAGCAAAUCUAGAUUGGCCUUUGCAACAAUUCGAUGUAAAAAAUGCAUUCCUCCAUGGAGAUCUAACUGAGGAGAUUUCAUGGAUUCCACUAGGGUGGAGUGAUUCGGACAUACGGAAACAAAAGGUAUGUAGGCUUAAGAAAUCAUUGUAUGGGUUGAAGCAGUCUCCAAGAGCCUGGUUUGGUAGAUUUACCAAGUCCUUGAGAGCAUUCAAGUAUAGGCAAAGUAAUUGGGAUCACAAGUUAUUCCUGAAACACCGGAAUGGCAAGGUUACAGUUCUCAUCGUAUAUGUGGAUGAUGUGGUGGUUACUGGUAACGAUCUUGUUGAGCAAGUAGCCUUGAAAAAAUAUUUGUCCACAUAAUUUGAAAUGAAAGAUCUUGGUUCUUUGAAAUAUUUCCUUGGGAUUGAAGUGUCGAGAUGCAAGUCCGAGAUAUUUCUAUCACAAAGGAAGUAUGUUCUUGACCUGUUGAAAUAAACCGGUAUGACGGCGUGCAAGCCGGUGUCUACUCCGUUGGCCGAAGGAAUGAAGUUGGGUAUCGAUCAAAACCAAGUACCGAUUGAUAAAGGGAGGUAUCAAAGGUUAGUAGGAAGAUUGAUGUACUUGGCUCACACUAGGCCGGAUCUUGCUCAUGCCUUAAGUGUAAUUAGUCAAUAUAUGCACAAUCCAGGAGAACAACAUAUGAGUGCACUUAUGAGAAUAUUGAGUUACUUGAAAGGAAGCCUUGGUAAAGGAAUUUUAUUUCAAAAAAAAUGGGCAUUUCAAAAUUGAGUGCUAUACGGAUGCUGAUUGGGCAGAAUCAACAGAUGAUAGGCGCUCGACAUCCGGGUAUUUUACCUUUGUUGGGGGAAAUCUAGUAACGUGGAGAAGCAAGAAGCAGAAUGUUGUAUCAAGGUCAAGCGAAGAAGCCAAAUUUAGAGGUAUGGCACUCUGUAUUUGUGAACUCUUGUGGCUUAAGUUUCUGUUACAAGAUGUGGGGGUCAAACAUAGUUAGCCAAUGAAGUUAUUUUGUGACAAUAAAGUUGCUCGUGAUAUUGCUCAUAAUCCAGUGCAACAUGAUAGGACCAAACAUGUAAAGGUUGACAGGUUCUUUAUUAAAGAGAAGCAAGAUAACAAAGUAAUUGAGGUUCCUCCCACAGGAACGGACAACCAAGUAGCAUAUAUUCUCACUAAGGUGGUUUCUAGUGACAAGUUCUCCAGGUUUCUAGACAAGUUGGGCAUGUGCAACAUCUAUGCACCAACUUGAGGGGGGAGUGUUGACUUGUAUUAGGAUUCCUACAAUUGUGGGAUUCCUACCAUAUUUGGUUUCCUAGUUUAGGAUGUAAUUAUUCAUUCCUUUAUUCUGAUAGGAAUAUACAUGAUUGUAUAGGGUUGUAUAUAUACUUUUAUUUUGAGAUGAAAUACAAUAUUUAUUGAAAAGCAUUCUUUCUUCUUUGCAUAUAUAAUAGCAUAGCAUGAAUGGUUGAUAUGACCUGACAAACUAACUCUGAAUUAUGUUCUGUAUGAAAAUAUCUUUGUCUUUUUUUUUUAAUGGCAGCUGACCCUUUUUAACGGGCCUGAUUAGUGGGAGGUUAGUCUUUACGACAGAUGCCUAAAACGUGCUUAUGGCAUUGAGCUGGAUGUUGGUUCGUUGAAGAAUGUUAAUUCGACUUCCACUAGAUCGUCACAUGAUUAAUGAAGAUCCACAACUAUGUAUUAUUCAGAUAAAUAAUAAUACAUAUUUGAUUGUAGCAAAUUGAUUGUAAUUUAUUGAAUGCUUUUUUUUUUUUCGUCAAAAACAAAACAUGGAAUUGGAACCUUUUAAUGGCGCGUUUACGUAUCUGUAAUCGGAAUGAGAAUGUAGAAUUGAAUUCCGAUUACGGAAUACUCCGGUGUUUAUUAAACAUAGAGGAAUCAAAAAAGCAGUGGGGCCCAUAUAAAUUUUGGAAUUCAAUUCCUUGUAUUGGUGGAAUUGGAUUCCCUAGAUAUAUGUGGUAAUCCAAUUCCUGAUUGUUUGGGUAAUCGGAAUGACACUUUUGUUCCCUUUAUGCCCUCACUUACUUUUUUUUAUUUCCAAGAGUAUCCUUUAUAAACCCAUUAAAGUAUAUAAAAUAUUUGAUUUGGGACAAGGGCAUUUUAGUAAUCAUACUGAUUUAUAUUCCGAUUCUGCUGAAUUAGUAAACAGCUUUAUGGAAUUCUAUUCCAAUUCCAGAACAUUUAAGUAAACAGCUUCAACAGGAAUCUGAUUCUGACUUCUCCUCAUUCCAACUCCUCGUCAAUUCAAUUUCUCCUCAAUUCAAUUCUUCAUAUUUUCAUUACCGUUACGUAAACGCGCUAUAAAGGGUUAGGGUAAAGGGGUCGGCACUUUGUGGUGGGGACAUUUGGAGCCAACAAAAUACAAUACAAUAUAAUACCGACCUCUCUUUUUCUCUACCUGAAAAAGUCGAGUCGAGAAGGUUCGAUAAGUUCAUUUCAUCUUUGGCAGCAGCUAAUGGCGUCCGCAUCCUCACCCUCCAUCCUUUAUAUGGGAAUUUGAGGUUCCAAAAGCAAAGCAAGGAAGCCAACACCACCAAUAGGCAGAUUUGACGUACCCAAAACCAGAAUUUUUUUUUUGGUAUAGUAAGUAGAAUAAACGCUUAAAAUGAAAUACUAAGGGGGUAGGGGAGUCAAGCAACUCAUAACCAAAUUUCGGUUUCGCUCAAAUUUCAUUGGCCUAAACCACAAGGCACACAAGGAGGAGUUCAACACCUCAUAACCAAAUUUCAGUUUCGCUCAAUCCGCAUUCGCUUAUAUAUGAAAAAUUCUCUCUUUUUGUUUUUUGUUUUUGAAAAAACGGUAUGAUCCACACUGGGGGUAGGGGAGUGGGCUAAGCCUCAUAAUGAGCUAGCAAUAAUGUGGUUUGACAAAUUCUCAUCUUAACGAGUGUUAUAAAUUUGAUACGUUUUUAAAACCUUACAUCUAGGCAACAAACUAAACAAACAGAUACAACGGAGCACAAUUGGGAGAGGAUUACCACAUGAUUUGAAGUUUUGAACUUACAAUUUUCAACUUCCAAUCCUACUUCUAAUAGAGCGUUAGAUUCGAAUGGUCGACUAUUUCAGAUAAGUCGGACUGUUAGAACGAUUGGGAGAGGGGUAGUGAUAGUUGAGAUCUUUGGGGUUUUCUUUGUAGGUGGUAGGAAAGGUGGCGGUGGGGGUUGGUAACGUAGGGAAGCCAAUAGAGAGAGUGGAGAACUAAUAGGAUCGUAGCUCUGGAAUCACUCAACCAGGCAAGAGACUGGGACUCACUCAGCCAGAAAAUAGAACGAGCAAAGAGUUUGCUAGAAGCUUUCAAUUACAUUCAAAGUCUGACCGACAAUCCCUUUAGCUCAAGAAUUAUAAAGACUUAUAAUAUUAAAAGACUCCUACUUCCUAUGAGACUCUUACAAUCUCCAACAAUAACUUGACAAUUUCUAAGGGACAACUUAAUUAAACCUUGUACUCCUAAUACACAUGAACUUGACAUUUAAGGACUGUCUGCUGCAUCAAUCUCCCUAUCCCGAAAAAAUAAACUCGUCAUCGAGUUUGAGAUUGUGAAUUCAUUCCCAUAAGUUAUGAUCAUCUUCUCGCAGUUCUUGUUUGCUGAUUCAUGUAGCUUCACUCAGGGGUGGUUCUUCCAACGAGUAAGAUAUUGUCCAUAGGUGCCUCGACGAGUAGAGGUUGAACGUUUGUCUAGGAUUUCCAAUGAAGUAGUAUAUGCAUGAGGGACAUUAGUAGUUUCGGGACUUGUGGCUGUGGGAACUAACUCAGGUUCGCCAUGGAACAAAUAUAGAUCAGAGAUGUUGAAAAUGGGACUUAUUUCUAUUCCCUCUGACAGUUCAAUUUUGUAAGCAUUGGACCCAGUUUUCUUAAGCACUCUGCAAGGACCAAUCUUCUUCUUCUUUAACUUGUUGUAUGCGGGGAACCUUUCUUUUUUUAAAUAAGCCAUCACCAAGUCACGUUCUUGGAACUCCACAUGAUGCCUAUGUGCAUCAGCAGCUCUUUUGUUGUUGUUGGCAAGUCAUACAUCGACUAACAAAUCUCUCCACAUCUCAAGACAUUCUCGGUUAAUAAUACCGCUCUUGGACUAGAGCAACAGUUUUGUCUUUGCCAAAAUGACCGCCUAAGCCUCCUCCAUGCAACUCAGUAAUAAAUUGGAGCCUCAAGGAACCUUGAGGGACACAAAGUUGUGUGCCCUUAAAUAAAUAUCCAUUGACAGUGAUAAAAAUCGUAGUUUUAGUGAGCUCUAUCUAGUUGUGAUUUAUUGUCGCUUGUUGUCUGCAGGUUACGGUAUGUUGAAAAACUAUGUUCGUGAAUAUCCUAUCAUUUUUCAAAAGAAAAUACAAAUUGGUUUGGGUGAUAAUUUUUUUUUCUUCUGAACAAACGUUAUUAUUUACACUAAUUGGGUGAUAAUUUUUUUCUUUUGAACAAACGAUAUUAUCUACACUAAGGGGGAAAGGUGGGCAAACCUCACAAUGAGCUAGCAAUAAUGUGAUUCAAAUUGGCUUUUGGCGAGAAUUGAACCUAAGACCUCUCACUUACAAGUAAAGAGGAAUAUCAUUAUACUGUAAUACUAAGUGGCAACUUGGAUUGUGAGAUAACCACCAUCUUCAUUCAGCAUGCCAUCAUAUGUAGGCCUGACAACUUUUUGCACAAUCUGUUAACCUGACACGAAAAUUAUAGGUUUUGGGUCACACUCUUAACGAGUCGGGUCAUCAUUGAAUCACCCGUUAAGAGUCUGUUAACAAGUCGGGUCGUUGAGUAACCCGUUCAAAACCUUAUCGUUUACUAAAUCUAGAGGCCAGCAUGACAAUUUCUUGCAUGGCUCGUUAAUCCAACAUGAAACGACACGACCCAUUAACAAAUCAGGUCAUUAUCAUGUCAUCUGUUAAGAACCCGUUAAGAUAACAAGUUGGCACGACCUGACGCGUUAAGAUAACAAAUAUGCCACAAAAAUAACACAAACACGAUCCAUCAGGCUUAAUCAUAGGUAUGUGCAUGCAUUUGGGUUAAAUAAAUCAACGAAGUAUUCGGACAAUGAUGGUUCCAGCUUUUCACUUUGCAUUACUAUUGUUCUUCAAACAAGAUAAACAUAAGAAUAUAUCUCUCCUUUUUGCAUUGUGCUUUGGACUGACUGGAUCACGGAGCUUGAGCAGUUGCGUGCUCUCGAUCGACAAUUCGUAGUGCUGCUUGCACCCACAAACCCUAUUUCCCCCUUAUAGGCCUUAAUUUUAUGUUUUUCGAAUUGACAAAGAAAAUCGAUUUACGAUUCUCUCAUUUUCGACGUGAAACCUUACAUUCUUCAACACCCAUCAUACAUUUGAGAAAUCGAUCAUGGAAAAGCAACUAUACAAUUUGCAUAUGCGCAUCAUGUACUAUACAAAUGGGAAACAACUUGGUGGCAAAAUAUAUUUUGUCAUCCUAAAAUCAUAGGGCGCAUGCAUCGCACUGCUAUAUAUUAUCUCAAGUCGUUUUAUAGGGUUGGACUAAAUCAGAGCCGGUAUAGAAGGUAAGGCGAACAACACAUGUUAUAACCACGAGCUGGUGGUUACCACGGGCGGAUUGCAAGGCUUCCUUCAAAUUAAAGUGGAGGUCUUGGGUUCAAAACCCGCUGCUAGUGUGGAAGCUAGACUUGUGGCCAGGGAGAGGCUGAAAUGCCUCUGUUAGUCUUCCGGGCCCCCGAAAAAGAUGGAUAACCGUAACUUGCCACCAGUUGUCCCUUUAAAAAAAAAAAAAAAACGACAACAACACAUAUGUUAUAAACUUCAAUUCCAAUAGGCUUCGUUUUCACACAUUUAUUCUACAUAUAUCUUAAAUUUCUUUAUUCAUGGUAUUCUCCACUACGCAUAUGAUUUAUAAAUCAUACGGAUACAGAUAGAAUGGUUUGAGAGAAAGAUAUGGAGUUGGAGGGCUCAACUUUCGUAGAUGACAAGCAAAGCAAAUUAAGCAAUGAUGUGGAAAAAACAUUUCUUCUUCAAGACCGGCCGGGGUCAUAUAGGUCGCGGACCAGUUUUACACGUGACAAAACAGUCGGCUCUUGCUGCUAUAUUUUCACGUAACGUAACUAAUAAACUUGUGUUAGAAGACGCAAGUGUUUUUUUACCACAGUGGUAGAAAGAAGUUGAGCUCUUGUAUGAUGACAUGGAUUCGAUUCUCAUCGGUCGCUAAUCUAACAUCUAAUUUGACAAAAUCUAUCGUUAAAAAAAAUGUUCUAAGAUGUGUAUCGCUUACAACUUACACUUUUAUUUAUGUUCUGAGAGUAUUUUUAAUCGAGAGAUGCACAUUUUAAGAUGUAAAUGUCACCUUUACAUUUUUUUUGUUUUUUUUACAUUUCAUUCUACAUUUCUGGCAAAUGUAAAUGCAAGUCCUAUCUAUCAACCAUGUGAAAUCAGUGGUUUCUUGGUCACGACUGGCUAAAGCUAAAUUUUCAUUAAAGAGCGUUUCUACGUGAUACAACCUCCUCAUUGUAUAAGGUUUUCAUGAUGUUGAUCUUGAGCCGCCAUCCAAGCAUGAAUACAUUCGUUCAAGAGAAUAUUUGUCAUGCCCCGAUCCCGACAUACGUCCAAGAUCGAUACGUGACAUCACCAAGUACCCAUAUAUCUAACAUACCGGGAUAUGUACAAAGCAUAGAUCAAGAUUUGAAUUUCAUAGCAUUUUAGGUACAUUUUAUGGCUGCAUCUAACUUCCUCGUUAGACUGCCUAUGUACCAUAAAUAGGGAUCAAGCCAUUUGUAGUUCGUCAUUCGUCAAACUCUAAUCUUUUCGUAAAAUACUUCUAGUGGAAAACAUAGGGUACCACACUACACAUCAACCAUAAGCCAAACACAAUUAUCAUCUUGUCAUGCACGCAGGUAUACCAUGCCCACACAUUUACUUUCCAAUUCAUCCUUCAAAUAAAUCACUACGUUUCACAUACUUCCGCAAUUCAUAGUAUGCAACAUCUCAAAGAACAGUCAACGAAUCACCAUGUUAUCCUUAAGCCACAAUGGUCAACGAAUCUAAUCAUAAUGACAACAAUCACAACCAACAUUAUUCCAUAAUCACAUCAAUCAAUAACACAUAUCAUAUACCAAAAUGUAGGGCUAGAGCGACACAGUUCGGCUGAAGCCUACAUCUCUGAAGUUGAUAUCAAAUCCCAGGAACCAACAAGUCAAAUGAUGCGAUUUUGGACCACUCAACGAAAUUCAAACCAUGAUACGAUUCCUGACCAUCACUCAACGAAAUCACGGAGUAGAAGGGAUUUCAGACCAUCACUCAACAGAAUCCAAACCAGGAUACGAUUUUGAACCAUCACUCAACGGAAUCGCGGAGUAGAAGGGAUUUUGGACGAUUCUGAACCAUCACUCAACGGAAUCGCGGAGUAGAAGGGAUUCCAGACCAUCACUCAACGGAAUCGAAACCAGCAUACGAUUUCGGACCAUCACUCAACGGAAUCGCGGAGUAGAAGGGAUUUUGGACCAUCACUCAACGGAAUCCGAGUGGAUACGAUUCCGGACCAUCACUCAACGGAAUCGUAGAGUACAAUGCAUAACAACUACUCAAUGAAACAAGACAUGGAUCAAGUUACUCAAGUUACAAGGGUUCAACGAAACGAGAAAUGAAAUAAUGAAACGAUGGGUGAAACAUGUUUCGAAGCAACAAACCUUAUGACAAUGGGUUAACGGUCCACUACUAGCCCUCACAUUUCAUCACACCAAGCCAAACAUACAAAACAAACUAUAUUUCCAAUAUGCACGUCAAAUCCCACAUCAGAAAACAACAACGAUGGCUAAAUAUAAAAAUUAACAAUUUUAUAGGAAACAUAAUCAUAAAACCAUCUCAUAUCCACACAUGAUAAUAGUUAUGAAAACAGGGUAAUCACCUAUAUCAAAUAUAUUAAAGUCACUCACAUUUUAUUAUAUCAUACCAUCUAUGCAAAUCAACCACCUUUCAAAUAGGCACGUCAAAUCGCAUAUCACAAGCAUUAUCAGUACACAAGCCAAAUCAUGUUUAAUAAACAUACGUCUAUGGCUAAAUAUAUAAAAUCACAUUUCAAUAGAAAUCACAAUAUAAAAUCAAGUCAUAUUCACAGAUGAUACCUGUUGAUGCACAAAAUCAGUGAGGACUUUGGUACAACAGAAAGUGUUAAGUUUGUGACCUUCGCUAGAUUGCUUCGGUCACUAGUGUGGAUAAGUAUGUAAAUGGAUAGAGACAGGGAAGCAAACACAAGAUGUACGUGGUUCACCCAUAUUGGCUACGUCCACGGAGUAGAUGAAUUCUCAUUAAUUGUGAAGGGUUUACACAAGUACAUAGGUUCAAGCUCUCCUUUAGUGAGUAUUAGUGAAUGAUUUAGUACAAAUAACAUUAGGAAAUAUUGUGGGAGAAUGAUCCCCUUUUAUAGAAGAGAGUUUCUAGCUUUGUUUUGACAUUGACACGUGUCGUGUUGUGAUUGGCUUCUGAUGUUGACACGUGUCGCGCUAUGAUUGGCUUCUGAUGUCAACACAUGUCGCGCUGUGAUUAGCCUCCUGGUUUGAGGGAAACUUUUCUGGGUCCUUGACGGUAUAACGUUAACCGGUGCUCAGUAGUUUCGGGAUUGGUCAAGUAUGGUACAAACAGUGCUCCCCUAAGUUCCUGAGUGAGGGAAGCUCCUCGGUUGGGGACUUGCAAGAUCCAAGCCGCUGAGUAAUCACGAAACUUCUAAGUACCGAAGUGUGGUAUCAUCUUCACUUACCUUAUCUGUCUCAUAGGUAAAUGUGCAUCUUCUCUGGAAGUACUUUUCCUCCAUCCAGGGGUGGUAUCUUUAACCGGUGGAGAUGCACAAGGUAAUGUAUCAAUUUGACUUGAAGCUUACUUGUAGUUUCAGGCUUGGUUAAGCGCGAUACAAACCAUGUAGUAGGAGUCCCCCAAGUCGCCGAGCUAGGAGAUUUUCCGAAAGAGGUGACAGACAAGGUAAGCAAUCAGAGUUCUAAGCAAUCAGUCCCAGAUCAGAAGUUUGAUUUCGAGUUCCAGCUGAUUGUUCUCAUUCUCCCUAUCUUGCAGGUAGCAAGAAGGAUAAAGAUAAGAAAAAGGAGAAGAGACGAUAUGAGAUACUUUUGAUUUUGAAGAAGUAACUUUCCACAAGCUUAUUCUUGAACUGGGCUGGAGUGUUUUCUGGUUUCCUCCAAAGUAUAAGGCCGACUCAAGAAUUUGAGGGUCAAAACAAGUCCAUCAAAUCUAAAGUACGUUCGACCCUGAUGAUAUGGGAUACUUUUGUUGUUGACAAAGUAAUGGAUGUAUCGACACGUGUUCUGUUACGCUUGUCUCCAUAUGCUUCCUUAUAUCCUUCUCACUUGCCCUAUCUGUUCCUCAGGCAGAUGUGGUAUCUUCUCUGGAAACAUAAGAUGUUGAAGAUGAGUACUCGAGAGUAAUGUCAGGUAAGUAAUCAGGUAAGGGGUUCCAGGCAGUCAGUUCCUGACUGGAAGCUUGAUUCCAAGUGCUGACUGAUUGCUCUCUUUCUCCUUGUCUUGCAGGUAAGAACAAGGCCAAAGGAAAAGACAGGGAAAAAGCAUGAUAUGGGAUACUCUUGCUUUUAACCCUGAUGAUAUGAGAUACUCUUGCUCUAGUGUGGCUUGUUUGCAGAUGUAUUAUCAGGGGGAAAAGAAGCUGAGUAUUUCGAGAAACUCUGCUGAGAGUGCCCUCUCGAAUGUGAAGAAAAGUUGAGCAUUUUUUUUUAUUUGCAGGUUUGUCUGGCUGUGGAGGAUGAAGGUCAACAUAUAUAGGAAUUGUCCCAAUAGCGAGUAGUAACGCUGUUCCUUUACCCUUCUCGGUCAUAGCAAUAUAGUGAGAGCUGCAAGAUUCACAUGUUUUAACUUUGUCAGAGCACUUUGAAAAAGUGGUCUAUGGUAUCUACAAAGUUGAUGUUGCGUGUGAAGAUUGCAAAUAAGCUCUAUCUAAGGAAAUCUGGCUCUCGAAGUUCAGAGAGCGAUGCCUCUUCGAUUUUCGAACAAGCAAUCCUAUCGGGGACCUGGCUCUCCAGAUUCGGAGAACGGUGCCUCUUCGAUUUUUGAGAAAGCAAUCCUGUUGGGAGUCUGGCUUUCGAGAUUCGAAAAGCGGUGCCUCUUCGAUUUUUGAGAAAACAAUCCUGUUAGGAGUCUGGUUGUCGAGAUUCGGAGAACGAUGCCUCUUCAAUUUUUGAGAAAGCAAUCCUGUUGUGAGUCUGGCUCUCGAGAGUCAGAUAGCGGUGCCUCUUUGAUUUUUGAGAAAGCAAUCCUGGUGGGAGUUUGGCUCUCGAGAUUCGAUUUUUAAGCAAGUAAUCCUGUUGGGAGUGUUUUCUUGAUGUGAGUAAAGGUUGGGCAUUUUUGCCAGUUUGCCUUGCCACGGAGCACGAAGGUUGACACACACAGGGACUUUCUAGUUAUCAAGCAGUGGUGCUGUUCCUUUAUCCUUGUGGGUAAUGGUAGGGUAGCUGGACCUUCAAAAUUUAUGUGUCCAAAUUUUGUCAGAGAUCUUUGGCAAAGUUAUCUGUGGUACCCAAGAAGCUAAUGUUGCGUGUGGGGAUUGUCGACAUAUUUUACUCAUGAAAAUCUGCUUCUCGAAAUCCGAAAAGUGGUGCCUCUUCGAUUUUUGAACCAACGGCCCUGUUGCCCUUUCUUUUAUAGGGGCACCAAUUGUGUGCAAGAAGUACGUUCAGAGAGUUAUUGCUUGCAUGAAAUUUCCCCUUAUUUUUGUACUUCAGAGAUUUAUUGCUCCUCAUUUCUCCUUCAUCAUUUCUGAGAAUGUCUGGCUCAUCCGACCGUCGUUUUGACUUGAACUUUGGUGAACAGGCAACCAUGCCUUCUCAAGUCAACAUAUGGCGCCCAUCCUUCUUAUCCCCUACUGGUCAUCUUAUCGUUGGGGACUCUGUGAUGAAGAAUGAUAUGACCGCUGCGGUAGUGGCCAGAAACCUUCUCACUCUCAAAGAUAACUGACUACUUUCCAAACGGUCUGAUGAGUUGGCUGUUAAGGAUUCUCUGGCUCUCAGUGUUCAGUGUGCAGGUUCUAUGUCUAAUAUGACCCAACGCCUAUUUGCUCGAACCCGCCAAGUUGAAUCAUUGGCGGCUGAAGUGAUAAGUCUCAAACAGGAGAUCAGACGGCUCAAGCAUGAGAAUAAACAGUUGCACAUGCUCGCACAUGACUAUGCUACGAACAUGAAGAGGAAGCUCGACCAGCUGCAGGAAUCUGAUGGUCAGAUUUUACUUGAUCAUCAGAGGUUUGUGGGUUUGUUCCAAAGACAUUUAUUGUCUUCGUCUUCUGGGGAUGUACCGCUUAAUGAAGCUCCAAAUGAUCAACCUUCGGUGCCUCCUCCUUCUGGGGUUCUGCCUAGUACUGAGGCUCCGAAUAAUCACCCUUCGGUGCCUCCUCUUUCUGGGGUUCUGCCGACUGCUGAAACUUCUCCUGAGCAACCUUUGUGAAGGCUCUCUCUUGUUUGUUUAUUUUGAUUCAUGUAUAUGUACAUAUUUGUAAUUUAUCGGAGAUAUCAAUAAACAAGCUUUGCUUCAUUUCAACGUAUUGUGUUAAAUACACCAAGGCCUUCUUCACUAAGUUCUUUGAAUUUUUUCUUUUGUUGAAGCUUGUAUGUUGAAGCUUUGUGAGUGAAGCAUGUAUGUUGAGGUAGUGCUCCCUUAAUUUCCCGAGUGAGGAAAACUUCUUGGUUGGAGACUUGAAAAAUCCAAGUCACUAAGUGGUCAUGAGACUUCCGAGUUUCAAGGUGCAGUAGCAUAUGGUAGGAGUCCCCCAAGUCUCCGGUCGAGGGAGCUGACGAAUGAGGCAUUUCCUUUUUAAGUGGUAGCCCAAAACUCCUCCUUCAUAUAUAUUUGUUAAGAAAGUUGUUAGGCCUAAAGAAGAGGAGGCCUAGGCAAUUUUUUUUUUUCGAAUUUUUUUUUUCAAAAUUUUUUUUUUUCGAAUUUUCGAAUUUUCGGAAAAAAAAAAUAUAUAUAUAUAUUUAAGCUUUGGUGUUGAAGCUUUGUAGGUGAAGCUUUCAGGAAACCAAGCUAGACAUAGGUUCAUAGGGUCACUAGAAGGUAUUUGGUACUUAGACAACACUCGUGGACGGUCCUAGAAGCAAUCAUCCAAAACCCGGAUAAAAUGCUCAUUUUAAAACAUUCUCAUUUAUUGUUAGAGAUGCUAUAAGGUUCUUCUUAUCCUUCUCGUUGGAGCAUGUCCACGCAUGUGUACAUGGACAUGGACAUGGAGACUCCACCAUCAAAUAUUGAAUAAUGUUAUACUUACCAUCUAUUUAUACCAUCUCUUUAAUAAAGAUAGGGCCCGACAACACAUAUGAAUCUCAUUUUUAUUAGAAAGAUGGUACAAAUAAUGGUAGAACUUUCACAUUGAAACCAUGCAUGAGAUUAAUUUGCAUGCCAACGAAAACUAACGGAGAUGGUUGGAUGUGACGACACUCUAUUUGCUUUCCCCUAUAUGUUCUUUGGUAGCUAGCAAAUUCAUAUGAUACUUGGUUUUUCAAAUCCACAUUAUCCUAUGUAAACAUGAUGUGACAUGGAACAAUUUUUUAACAUCUCUUAUGAAGACAGUCAAAUAAAAAUGUCAAAAUUUAAUUUUAUGACUGAUGUGGCUAUUUGAUGUUGAUGUAAAAAAUAUAAAAAAAAAUAUUUCAAAGGAUGUGUUAAAUUAUUAUUUUAUUCUAUAUUGUGUUUUUCUUUAUUUGCUACCCCACUCGUGAGGGUGGGGCGCCCCUAUUAAUUCGAGGAACCUAGGACGUGUUUAAAGUGACUUCACAAGAGUGGUGAACAACUUUCAAACACCAUGCCUUACUUAACCAAGGCUCAAAUCACCCAUAACUUGCUUUAAUGCCCUGCUUAGUUACUAGUCUUCACUACCAAACUCGGCUUAUUUUAUUUUGUAUUGGACCGCACUACUACAAUUUUUUUAUAUUUAUAAUAAAUAGUUUAGAAUAGUUUAAUUGUAUAUCCUAUUGAUGAAUUAUGAAACCCCACACAUUAAAUAACAAAAUUGACUCUAUCUUAGUUUGCUGUAAAAAAAAAAAAUUCUAAAAAGCAAAGUGCCAGAUGACUUGGCUAUCAUGUCAACUAUGAUAUCUCCUUUGGAGAAAACCUUAAUAUCUAUAAAUCCAAAGUUGACGUAUGCGACAUUUUCUUUAGAGAUAUUUUAUAAUAUGUUAUCAAAGUUGACAUAAGGGUGGGGCCCUAAUCGACUCCUAUUUGAUCUCAAUUUUAACACGACAAAACCUUAAUAAUAGUUUAUUCUGAUUUAAUUGAAUUUUGGCAGUGUGUGAUGGGAGCUUUUUCCCGGCCCUUCUCGAUGAGAUGUCUGCUGUGGUGGGUUUCUUUCAUAAGCGUGCACAGCAAUUGCUUGAACUCCAUCUGGCUUCUGCCUUUCGUAAGUACAUGUUUUGGGUCAAAGGCAAACGUCGAGGGGGCCAUGGUGCCUUAAUAGAAGAAGGCAAGGACCCCGUGACUUAUGCUCUGAUCAACGCCAUUGCCAUUCGGAAAAUACUAAAGAAAUAUGAUACGGUAUGUGAAUCCAACUGCUCAAAUUGGUAGUGCGUUUAUCAAAAGUUUCGGUAAUCCAGUUAAAUAUUUAUGUUUAUAAUUUUGGUUUGUGUUAUGGGAACAGAUUCAUUACUCAACACAAGGACAUGCCUUUAAGUCGCAAGCUCAAAGUAUGCACAUUAUGGCUUUUUGAGCUUAUGGCUUUUCACAUCAAUUUAAGGGAAACCAAGACUAAGUCGAGGAAGGCACCGGCUUUGUUUGAGGGAUGCUCCCUCUGUUAGCAGUGGCUAAGCCCGGAAUUGUGGAGGGGAGGGGCGAGUUUAAAAGCGUAAACGGUCUCAAAACAAAUGUAGAUAACCAAAUCCUUUCAAAUAGUAAAUAAUAUUAAUAUCGUUCAUAAUUUAUCAAUACAGACAAAUUAUAAUUGUUGCUGACAAAAUUUUAUGUUAUGAAAAAGUCGCAUAAUCAACUUAUUAUCAAUAAAAGCAAAAAACAAGAAGGCGCAGCAGCAGCCGUUGUCUUGUAGUAUACACAAAAAGACCAAAAAAAUCAGAUAUCCAUCCAAAGGAAUCAUAGGCAAGAUAUCAAUAUUUUUGGAAGGGGAUAACCUAAAAUAAUAUCCUAGCCCAAUCCUUUUUCAAUAAGAAAGUAGGUGUCUGAAAUUUAGUGAUUAAUUUGCAAAUUUUCCAUCCGCUGUUAAGGUAGAAAUUUCUUGUCCGGCUGCCGGACAAUGUAUCCAUACGACUCCUGAUGCAAAUAUAACCAUCCUUAUUGUAUAUGGAGAGGUUCUUCAAUGUGCCCGAAAUAUAGGAUAAAACAACACACAUUGUCUCAAAAUUGAAAUUGAAAUAGAACUAGGAAUAUAUCUCAAAAUCUUGAAAGUUUCAAAAUGUAUUGUGUUAUUCAAGUUUGAACUAUUUAGAAUGACAAACUAGUAGUCAGUGCAUAUGUUAGUAUGAAUGAAGUUCCAAAUUUGAAAUAAUUCUCUCAAAAGUAACACUUCACUUUUUCUUUUCUUUUUUGAAUAAAAUCUCCUUUCCUGUAACGAGUUGGAAGCUGGAACCCAUAUAGGCAUAUAUAUUUACAGUUUGUGGUUUGGAGAGAUCUUUUGACUUUUUGAAAGGGCAAAGAUUAAAUUCCAAUUUUGGGGGCAGCUUCUUGCUGCUGCUAUCUGAUUGGAUUCGAAAGUGGGCAGCACGUGGUGAGAUGAGUGAGCGUUCCUUCAAUUAUUUAUUUAUUUUAACUAGCCAAUGAAACGGUGCCGUCCCACUAAUGGGAAUUCUAAAAAAAAAAAAUGAACCAAGACCUAUAUGACGUUGUUUUGUUCUGGCCUUUUGAAAAAUACUUAAAACCCUCCCGCACAGCAGAGCUGCGCAUCAACAGGGAAACCAGAACUGCAAUAAACCCAGAACUUCCGACGAGACCAGAGGUGCGGAACCACCGCUCCUGGACUUAUUUUCCGCGAGGGGAGGGGCGGCCGCCCCUCCUUGCCCCUAUGUAGCUUCGCCCUUGUCUGUUAGAAAAUGAGUAUAUGAAACUGAAUAUUAUAGUCGAUUGUAGUGUUUCAAUCGACAUUGAAUAGUCUUGCUAGAAAGCUUAAAGCUAUCAUAAUUCUUGUGGGAUUGUAAUUAAGAUAUGAUUGGAAUUCAUAUUUGGUAUCCUAUGGUGAUUCUAAUAGGAGAAUAAAAUAUGAUUGAUAUAUUAUAAAUAGUGGCCACUGCUCUUACAAAACUUACGCUCAAUAUUGAACUAAGACCUAUUGUAGGUUUGAGUACUUUUGGUUUUGCAAGAGAGGAGAAGGUGCACUGUUUAGAAGUCUGCUUUGGCUUCUUCUUCUAUAGUUUUUACAGUUAGUUUGUCUUUGUGUUUAUCGAAUUGUGAUUUUAAUACUUGUAUAAAUUUGUGGUUCAUGAGCUUAAUCUCUUAACUUAUAUUUUUGAUAUGUUUAAUCUUACAUGUGGUAUUAGAGCCUAAGAUUGUUGCUCUUGAAUUCAAAUUAAAAGUUUUGACAUUAAAACAGUAAAAGAUGUGAUGGUUAAUUAGCAAGGAUCAAAUUUUGAUUGUGAGGAAAUCUGUAGGGCUUUCCUAAGGUUUUAUCUGGAAUUCUUUUUUAGCAAAACCUUUUUGCUCAGUUUUGAACAUUUGUUAUACUAUGUCAUGAGUGUCGUGCAUCGAUUAUAUUUUGCUGGAUAUUAUAUAAUAUAUAAAAAUUAUAUUAUAUAAUAUCAAAGGGCUUCCAAGUAUAAAGAAGCACAAACACGAAUCUAUUUCAAUAUAUAUACACAUGGAUGCAUGGUGUGCUGGUGCAUGUAUCUGCUUUGCCAUUAGCAUUGGUUAAGCCAAAUUUUGAACUUAUGAGCAUAUAUGAUUCAGGAUUGUUGUACAUGUUGAGUCUCAUCGAUUGUCAUGAUGAAGCAAAUAUGCUUAGUCUUUUCUGACGGCUUAAAAGAAAGUGUUGACCCUAGAAACUACCAAGCCUACGUGGCGCGCAGGCCGAGUAAUGCGGGGCGUGCCAACUCGUCGGCCGAGCUCGGCCGAGGAGUAAAUUUGUUGAUGUUGCGUUGGGUCGCGCUACUGACUUCUGCGUCUUGCAAUUGCGGCCGAGAAAGGAACACGUCUCGGCCUCUUGGGCUCUCGAACCUGAAGACAAGGUUACUAUUCUUACGAAGUUCAAUAUCAAAUUCGACUUUCAAUGUGCCGAAUGUAAUAACUGUAACACCUCACUUCACCGAGAAGGCUGAUGAGAGGACAUCGACCAAUAAGGAUUUAGAAACCCUUCUCGACCGAGACUUGGAUAGGUAAUCAAUCGUUCUCGCCGCAGUGCUGUUGAUGCCAACGGAAGAUACUGCGAGACCGACUGAUUCUACGGUGACAGAGCUAUCUAUGCCGACUUAAGAUAUCACCGGUUGCUUCCACAGUGCUGUUGAUGCCAACGGAAGAUGUGUCAGCGAAAAAGGAAAAAGAAAAAUCACAAGUUGUGAGAGUUUGCGCAGGGCAAUUUUGUAUUGAUUUGCAGGGGGCUUCGAAUGAUGUGCAACCUCUUCUAUUUAUAGCAAUGGCUCCCCCCAAGGUCGAGUUAGAGACCUACUCGGACUAGGUUUUCUUCCCCUGAUCAGCAUCAACUCGACCAGUCCUAUCUUCACUAGGACUGUGAACCUAGUCCUUAACUGAGUCAGAUUCGCUUCCGGGUCCUGCCGAGACUCCUUAUGGCACUAGGAUUCGACCUCUUGUGUUACGACCUAGCCGACCUAGGUUUGGAGGCCCACGUACUGAACGAUCAAUGGUAUUCUUGCCGCAAGGCCUUCCGGGCCGAGAAUGACCCUACAUUGGGCCCAAACUGUUAUUUUGGGCCCAAACAUUGCCCCCUCGCUUCUGAGGCCCUCGGCCUGAGUUCUUUGGCCGAGUUUCGGCCUUGAAGAAGCGAAUCUACCACCCAGAACCCUAAUGCCCGAGUUCCAAGGCACAUUUAUUGAACACGAUUGCACGAUCUUGAUCCUGCUAACCAAACUUGCCACGUGGCGUCCUUUAAUACGGCCAACCCCAAUGAUGACGUCCAAGGCGUGCGGCUGCCUGAACCGUCGACAUUAUGACCACUAUCUCAAUCCGCGAGCCACUUUCUCAGUUCGUGAGCCCACUUGUCAUCGUGCAGGCGUCGAAACGUCUUCCGCCAUUAAUUUCGCCGUCACACGCAAUCGUGCGCCCCCAAUAUCUGAAACCUUCGGUCUUCUCAACUGCAUUUCCCAAAUGUUCAUCAUGAUCAACGAUUCUUUCGGUCGAUUUGGCCCCUUUGUUUUGAAUUUCAAACGAUUACCCUUCCUGCCAAAAGCCUAUAAAUACUGAAAAUCUCUCAUUCGCACUUUACGCUCCCAAAACUUUCUGAAAAAACUCUCGCUCUUAUUCUCCAGCACCUUUCUUUUUCAAGUCUUCGUCUUCAAAUCUUUGUUUUCAGAUUUCCAAACCCAGAAAAACUCCAUUCGCGUCGUGCUUUUCAAUCUUCCUACAAUGGCUUCCUUUAUUUCCAAAUUCUCCAAGGAAUGCGACCAGUGCCAAAAAAUUCUUGACCGAAGCUCAAUCAAAACUAUACGGUUUGAAAGUGACAUGAGCACCAUUCACCAAUCCUGGGCCCUCUCUUCAAAGCAACCGUACCAUCAACUAUCACCGAGCUUCUCCAGGAACACUGCUUGUCACCCUUGUUCCAAGGGUUUGAAUGGUCAAGAUGGGAGGCAGCGAAACCCCAAGGCUCCUGGCCUUCGACCACUACAACCUGGGCAGCCUGGGUCGUUCGAAUGGAGAAGCUCUUCGGCGAGCAAUGGAAAGUCCUCGGCAUUUACGACGCCAUUCUUCUUCUUUCGUCUAUGGACAUCGUUCUCGACAAGGAGCUUCUCCUAGCCGCCCUAUGCUUCUGGUGUUCGGCCACCAACACCAUGGUUCUCCCUCUUGGUCCUAUCGGCCCCACCAUUCUUGAUGUUACUGCUAUCUUGGGGACUUCAGCAACUGGAAUCCCCAUCGAUGCUGCCCUCUCCGGAUAUCGGUCGAAUCUCGACUUGAAGACGCUCUUCGACCGACGGGCUUUUGAGACGUUGAGCCGUGAGGGUCAUAUCCUCUCAAAAGAAGACGUUCAGAAACUCCACAAGAACUUCUUCAACUACAACACCCUCUAUCUCCAUUUCGCUGGCCGAGGAGAAGAGGCCCUGCGGGAAGGGGAACAUGAAGCUUUCCUUUUCUACUGGUACAACAAGUACAUUUGUUGUACCAAAUCGAACAAAUGCCUGGUCGAGAAUAUGCCAGUGGCCGAGGCCCUGGCUAGCGGUCACGUCCUGGCACUUGGCCCCAACAUCUUGGCCCAUCUCUUCCGUUGCCUGGCUGAGACGACCCUGCACAAAAUUGACCCAUACCAGAAUGGUCCUCUCUGGGUCUUCCAACUCUGGCUCCAAGUGUAUUUCGCCUCCCUUCGGCCCGCCAUCGUCGAUUUCUCACCCACAAAGGCGCUUGGACCUCAGCUGGCCUCUCGACCAAUACCCCCUCACCGAGCCGAAGAAAAUAUUUAAAUUCUUUUUCGCCCUCGACGAUCUCUCCAACGAUGAGUUCCUGAUAUGUCGUCGUCGGGAAUAUCCUUCCUCGGUCAGGCUACCUAUAUCGGCGUGGAACGCAGAUGAAGACGCCGACCUUCGUCAGUCCUGGGGGUCAUUCGUGCUUGCUCGCGACCUCCCCUCGGCUGCGAUGGAAAACGAGCGGGCUGGGAAGUGUAUCAUCCCAACUUCCUUGUUCGGCAGCUUGGUUACCUCCAAGGUUGCCCAGUCCCCCUUCUCUCCUCUCGGUCCGUCCUAAGUCGCGGACGCGAACCUGGCUCAUCAGAGAAGGAGUGUGCCGACGCCAAGAAGGAGUUCCAGGAACGGUGCCAGAAAUUUCACCUUCGACCGGCCACUCCAGAAACCCUUUGCACCGACACCUUCGGUGAUUGGUGGGACAGUUAUACCCAACGGUUUUUUGGGGUCUCGGUCGAUACCAUUGUGGACACACUUUUUGGUGGUCGACCUAAAAAGUCUUCUGCCCCCCAAACCCAAGGUAAUGGUUUAUUUCUACCUUUUUCUUUCAAUUUUGAACUACUGAUCUACCUUGCUGACUUGCUUUUUAUCUUCUCAGGUAGUCGGCCUUCGAGAAAAACAGAGGCUCUCGCCGCGGCCACGGUCGAGAAAAAAAUUGGCCGUGGUUAAAAGGGAUAAGGCUGCUGGUCGGGCCGUGUUGACCAAACGCCCUCGCCAAGAGGCCGAACCGAUCGUCGAACCUCCGCCGCCUGCCAAGCGGGUAAAACAGCUGGCCAAGAAGGGCACACGGGAGAUCCACGUCAUCUCCAGCCAAACUACAAGGGCGACGACUCCCAGUGUUUCCCCUUCUCCUGCCGUUGUUCAACCCUCGAUCGAGAAACAGCCCGCCCCGGCCGCUGCGACAGUUCGAACGUAGCCUAUCUCUGGGACUGGUACACCAGUUGUGCCUCCCUCCGUCGAGGAAACACCUGCUAAAAAAAAAUGGUUUCUGCGACCGAGGGAACCACCCUUGGAAAUCCAAAACCCUCGGUCUUCAUUCUGGAAGAGAGUGAGGGGAGCGACGAGGUCCCGCUGGCAGAUCGUCCUCACUCUCGUCGGCAACCUCUCCCAAGGUCUGAGAUAGUGGUUCAAACCAGCCCCUCCACGGCUGAUCGUGGAAAGCGCCCGGUCGAGGAACCGACGGCGGUGGCUGAACCCCUCGCUCAUUCUCAGGACCAGGAUGUCCCUGCCUCAUUCGAAACGGCUGCCCCGGUCGGCCCAUCUGCAGCAGACCGUGGCAAACGCCCGCUCGAGGAACCCGAGGCAACGGCGGAAUCGCCCGUUCAUCCCCAAGACCAGGGCUUCCAUAUUCCUCCACAAGAGGUUACCUCGGCCUUCGUAAGUACCUUCGACCAUCUUUCCUUGAUUGCUUUUUUUCUAGAAUUCUAAACAAGGAAAAUACUAAAUGUCAGGUGUCUGUACAUUCUUUUCACCGACAAUUCUUCGCGCUGAAGGGCGUUAUCUACAUUUCUUGGCCGCCUCAGUGGCCAUCAAACGUAGAUAAUCUCCAUCGACAGCGUGAACUGAGAAGCAAUCUGAAACACUGGGCUCGGCCAUUAAGUUUCUUUAGGUUCGAGCAACGAUCCUGGAGACAUGGCCGAGGUCUCCUCUCGGCAGGUUAAAAAAAACACGAAACCUUCUUGCUAUUCUUGUCAUGACUUCUUUUAAACUUAACCUGAUUUGUACGUGCAGGCUUCAUGGGAGGUCGAAUUCAAAGCCCUACUCUCCAGCACAACUGCAGAGUCCGGUCCUUCGGCUGCUACAACUAAAACUGCCGAUCCAAGCGCCCUUACCCAGUUGCGAGAAGUCUUGUCGCUUUCAACAUCGCAAGUACUUGAGCGCAACGGUCUUGAUCUACUCGACGUAUGCCUGAACGACCUUGGAGCCGACGGUCGCCUGAGCGGAGAUGCCAUAGUUCGGGCAUCGUCUGCCUUGGAGCGUGUUCGGGAGACAUUUAGUAUCUUCCAGACCGCUCUAAAGGCCGAACAGUACCUACAAGCCGCCAUGGCCGUUCAAGACACCCUCCGUCCGAAGAUCGACGAUCUACGGGCAAAAGGAGAAGCGUUAGCCGAGCUCGACCGUCAGCUGACCGCACUAGCAAAACGUCGGUCGGCCAUUGCUUCCGAGCUCGCUAAAGACUUUGAGUCAGGCGGCAAGGAUCGCCUAACUGAGUAUGCGGCAACCAAAAAACGGGUCGAGCAGCUGAAGCUGGAUAAAAAGAAUCGGCAGGCCGAAGUUAUCAUGGCCGACGUGCGGUGGUUGGAAUUGAAGGCCCUGCUCAGCACUCUUCUACCCUCCUCUCAUUGAACGACUUUGAAUGUAAACCAAUCGACCCACUUAUUUGUAAAUGCUUAUCAAUCGUAAUGGACUAGUUUUCUAUUCCCGCAUUUCCCAUGUGACCGGAUAGUAUUUCUUCAAAAACUUCCCAUUGAUCGGUAAUCUGUGAACUACACCGGUUCGGUCUUUAAGAUGAUACGCCCCUUUUCCGUAUACUUUAUGCACAAUGAACGGCCCUUCCCAAUUCGGCGACCACUUGCCGAACCUAGGAUCUUUUAGCCCUCCGGGCAACACCAUUUGCCACACUAAUUCACCCUCGCCGAAUGUUUUCUGUCGCACCUUUUGAUUAUAGGCCCGCUCAGCAAUCUGUUUUUGUGCCACCAACAAGUUGUAAGCGUCAAGCCGCGCUUCUUCCAAAUCUUCUAGUUCCUGUCUCAUGGACUGAUUAUAUUCGGCGCUAAACAAACUACUUUGUUCAAUUAAUCGCAACGAAUUUAUGCUCAACUCGACUGGUAACAUUGCAUCGUGUUCGUAGGUUAAUGCGUAUGAGGUUGUCGCGGUCGCCGACCGGGGCGUCGUUCGGUAUGCCCAUAAUGCCUCGUUCAACUUCAAAUGCCACAUGCCAGGUCUUUCUUUUAUUAUUUUUUCGAGGAUGCCGAUCAACACUUUAUUACUUGUCUCGGCCUGCCCAUUCGCUUGUGGAUAAUACGGUGUGAACUGUUCCAGCCGAAUUUUCAAAUUUGCCGUGUAUUCUUUAAACCUUUCGGCUGUGAAGAUUGUUCCAUUGUCGGUUAUGAUCGUUUCUGGUACACCGAACCGGGUCACAAUGUGUUCCUUCACGAAGUCGCAAACCUCUUUAGAUGUUAACUCGGCAUAUGAUUUUGCUUCGACCCAUUUAGUAAAGUAAUCAGUCGCGACUAUUAUCCAUGCAUGCUUAGCAGCUCCAGAAGUCGGAGUGAUUUUGCCGAUUACGUCCAUGGCCCAUCCUCUAAACGGCCACGGCUUAAUGACCGAAUGUAGUGACUUGGCCGGGACCCUUUGUAUAGGCCCAUGGAUUUGGCACUGUAUGCAUCCUCGUGCAAACUCGAUACAAUCUUUCAGUAUUCUCGCCCAAAAAUAGCCGUGUCGUCGGAGUAGCCAUCGCAUUUUCCGUCCGGAUUGAUGAGCUCCGCAUACCCCUUCAUGAACCUCUGCGAUCGCCCGAGCAUUCUCUUGGGGGCCGAGGCAUAGUAAUAACAAACCAUCUUCACCCUUUCGGUAUAACUCGUUCUGGUACGUGACAUAGUUCGUGGCGUGAACCCGUGUCCUGCGACUAUGUUUCCCGUUAGGAUUGUCCAGGUACUGCAUAAUGGGUGUUCUCCAAUCAUCCGGUAUCACCUCAGUCGUGCAAAUCUCGACAGAGUCCUGCCGAUCUAACAACGAAGGUAAGGACAUAACCCUGGUGCGUAUCACGUCGUCCCGUCGGAGGAUUUGCUGGUUAACCAAGGCUGGGUAUAACUGCCGUAUCACUGGUAUCUCUUGGCCUAGUUUGCCCCCCAGGAGUUGUGCGCCGGAGGCAAUUUGAGCCAAUUCAUCCGCGUCGGUAUUAUGACACCGGGAAAUAUGUUGAAAUGUAAUACCGUCGAAGGAUUCGGCCAAAUAGCUGGCGACCAUAUGGUAAGGUGCCAGGGUACAACUCAUGCAACGAAAGGAACCAUUAAGUUGGUUAAUCAUAAGCUCGGAGUCACCGAGGACGAGGGCGCGGGUUGCCCCCAGGUCAUGGAGAAUUCCAAGGCCGAUGAUUAGGGCUUCAUAUUCGGCCUGAUUGUUGGUGUAGUCGAAGUCCAACUUAAGCGAAAAGAACCAACGAUCGUGAUUCAGGGAUUGAAUGACAAUUCCCACGCCCGCCGAAGAUAACGUACUGGGGCAGUCAAAAUACAUCGUACAGUGGUUGUCGCGCGUCUGAACCAUGCCGAUGUCAACGUCGUUGCCCCCAAAACCGUAUGGGGAGGGAUGUUGAGCAAGGAAAUCAGCCAAUGCUUGGCCCUUGACGGCUUUCUGAGCUACAUAUUGCAAGCUAAACUCGGACAGUGCCAUGGUCCAUUUCCUAAUGCGGCCUUUUACGAUCGGUCGAGUGAGCAUGUAGCGGAUGACGUCGUCUGCGCGAUAACCUGGGUAACCGAUGGGAGCAUAUAAUGCCGAAGAAGCUUGGAAACGGCGAAAAAAAACGGCUAGGCAGGCACAGCUUCUCGACGGCUAAAUAAUUGAUCUUGAUUCUGGUCGACUGAGAUUGCGGCUGAGAGAAAAAACAGCAUGUUCCCGUUCGGCGUCGUUAUCUUGUUGCGCGCGAGGAGCAGCCGAUGGAUUCUUCGGCCGCCGAGAUAUAUAGAGCUUAAGAGGCUUACCGCGCCGGGGAGGAACCAAGACAGGCGGGUUCUUGAGGGAAGACUGACUUUGAUUUGCGUAAACGCCACCUGAUGCGCGUCGUUCCACACAAAUUUAUCUGAGUCCUUGAGUUUUAAGAGUGUGGAAAACGCUUUCAUUUUUCCUGCCGAGAGUUGGCAAUAAAUCGGCGGAGGAAAUUGAUCUGUCCGAGUAAAGACUGGAACUUUUUCUUCGUCGUUGAGGGUGGGGCAGUGAUGAUUGCGCGUGCGCUUAUUAUUCAUCGACUCGACUUCAAUCCCACGAUGAUGUACGAGGAAACCAAGAAAAUUCCCCGAUCACAGGCGAAGGCAUUCAUCUUGAGGUUCAUCUUGAUGGCUGACGCAUGCGAAGGAAAGCCUGUCGGAAAUCGUCCUGUCUGUCUGCGCGCUUAGAUUUGACGACAACAUCGUUGAUGUAAACUUCGACGAUGGUGCCAAUUAACUUCAUGGAAGAUGGUGUUCAUCGCCCGUGGCGCGGCAUUCUUGAGGUCGAAUGGCAUGACAACCCAUUCGUAAGUGCCGAGUGUGCCCCGGGCAACGGGAAAGCAAUUUUGUGCACAUCGGCUUCGGCAAUAAAUAUUUGGUUGUACCCGGCAUGUCCAUCCAUAAAGGAUAAGAUCGCAUGAUUGGCGCGGGCAUCGAUUAAACAGAUCUGAAAUCGGCAUUGUAUACUCAUCUUUGGGAGUUGCCAGAUUCAGAUUUCGAAAAUCGGUGCAGAUGCGCAGUGCACCAUUUUUCUUUAAUACAAGAACGAUAUUCGCCGCCAGCCAUUCGACAUAUCGAGCUGUCCGAAUGAAUCCGGCUUUCAAAAGCUGAACUAGUUCGUCCUUGAUACUGAGUUGUACUUACUUCGGUCGAGAAUCGACGAUGUGGCUGACGGAAAGGUUUAAAUCUGGGCUUAAUACGUAAUUCAUGCUCGACCAGAGUACGAUCUAAGCCGGGCAUUUCAUGAUAACUCUAAGCAAAACAAUCUUUGAAUUCCGUAAGCAAGGUACGAAACUCGUCUUUCAUUCGUUGGGGAAGUAAAGCACUAAUAAACAAAAGCCGUGGGUCAUCGGCCGUCCCAACAUUAAUUUUUUCUAAAGGGUCCUUAACGAGGGGCCGAUGAUCCUCGAGCUCGGCCGGGGGCGGCUCGAAUUUUAUCAAAAGAUAAUACAGGCCCAUUAUCUCCCUCAGCAAGGAACUCGACGAGGUUGACGCCCGAAUUUGGUUGUUUAGAUAUCGUAUACCAAUGGGCCAGCAGCAGUUGUUCCAUAGUAGAUGAAACCACGGCCCUACGUGCUUCCCGAUCGGUGUCAAACAUCAGCUUCGGGGAGAAAGUUAGCUAAUCCGAGUCUCGCCGAAUCCUGCUGGACAGUCUCGGCGCCAACCUCGAUAGCUUUCUGAACGGAAAUCCGAGUCGGCCGUCCCUCUUCAUUGAAGCCUUGCAAAGUAAUGUAGCCGACGUGAUCGUCAUAAUACCGUGCUUGGAUCAUGUUAGCUUCGAAGGGCUGGCUAUCGGCCGGAUGAACAAUGACCGAUUUGCCGUCCCAAAAGACAAGCACUUGGUACAAUGAGGAAGGAAUACAACUGGUUUGAUGAAUCCAAUCUCGGCCGAGUAGUGCAUUAUACUCGGUUUUGGAAUCAACCACGAAAAAGGCGGUCAUGUGGGUGCGACCGGCAAUAUUCACAGUUAACGGAAGUACACCUUUGGUGUGGGAUUUGUCACCGACAAAACUACUCAUUGUGAUUCCUGACGGAAUAAGCUCGUCAUUUGAACGACGUAAGGCCUUCAUGAUGUUCAGAGGCAUGAUAUUGACGGUAGCUCCACAGUCGACAAAAACUUUAGAAACUGGAUAUCCCUCGAUGUGGGUCGUCACAUACAAUGGCUUUAAAUGGUGGAGCUUGGCCGACGAUGAACGAGGGAACAAUUCGGCCAAAGCGGCCUUUAGACUAUCAUCUUUUGUUGUUGACUCACCUUCAGCAAUCGAUACAAAAUCAACAUGGCCGGGUUCCUCGGCAACCACAUCUCCAUCAAGGAAAUUUGGUUGAGCCGUGCUUGAUUGAAAAUCGGCAGGUAACACAUGGACCAUACUGAUUUCCAUAUUGUCCAGGACUGACGGGCCCAUCUGGUCAAGACCUUCCUCGUUCGGUUGAUCGGCGACUACGGACUUAGUUGUCGCCAAAGUCGGACAACGAGACUCUCUUUUGUCCCUUCUUCAAUAACAUCACUCGGCGGAGCUGCUUCGACGACUUGUUGGUUCUGCGUGACCACCUCAGGUAGGGUUGAGAUUGACAAUGUACUUGGGAUCAGGACCUGAACCUGCUCCUGGUAAUAUAGCCGAGCAUCCCUAGUGUCGAGAUAAGCAUCCAGACGGGCAAUACGUGCGAUUUCAUCGGUCGUAAGGCCGAAGAGAGAAACCGCCGAAAAUACUUCAAAGUGAUAUCGUAAAUACUGAAGGUCCUCCAGCGAGAAAGGAAGGUCGGCUGCAUUGAUAUCGGUGUACGGGUCGACUUCAAAUCCAAGGACACGGGUUUCUCGUAUGUGCUGGAACCUUACUUUCAAUCCUGGAUCUGAGGUCUUCUGGAUGAUCCGCUCAGCAUCCGGACAAGUCAGGACCAGAUCAAUGGUGUCCUGGCAUGCCUUCGGCAAACCAUACAGAUCGUUGGCCGAAUGUUUCUUAUGAAACUCUCGCAUAUACUCCAAAGACUCCCCAAGGAACGGGGGAUGCAAAUUCCGUCGAAUUUUGACCAAAGGUUCUUAUAUAGCCAGCGGGGAUAAUUUGCUUUCGGCCUCUUGCCUGAAAUGUUCAAGGCGUGCCUUCAUUUCCCCUGGUCGAAUGAGAAGUUUGAUCCGUUUAUCAGCUUCUUCAAACAUGGUCUCGACAUCUUGAUCGACCAGCCGUUUCCCCUGAGCCAACUCUGUCAUAAUUGCUGGAGGUGGUCGCUCAUCAUCAGUGACAACUGUGUUAUUCGGCCGCCACUUAGGGGCCAAAGUUUCUUGGGCUGCUCGUCGGCGAGCCAUGCAAUCUAUCCGUUGAUGCCGGCAUUUCUGAGAUUUGGACAACGCGGUGUAGACGCCCUUCGAAGAAUGGUAUGUAUACCAACGUUGAUCUCUAGGCUCGGGAGGCUUAAAGGUCUUUUGGCUCCGCGAUGAUUCUGAACUGCUAGAAUUACGCUUAUAGUAAUCAUCGUCAUAGAAUGAAGCAUCAAAAUCGAGGCGUCGCCUGACCGGGGGUGUCUCUUCCAUCCGUACUUUAGGACCGAGCCUCCCAAAAACCCCGGGGUGUUGGCCUUCAUUGGCUACCCUUUGCCGAGUUGCGGCCACAGGUUGCGAAGAGGGCUUCUCCUCUGGUUCACUAUCGACCUUCGCUCUACAUUUCCUGCACAAAACCGCCGUCCCACUGUCUUCGUCGGUGCUGUAAUCCAUCAUAGGUUUGACAGUAGCGGGCCCCAUUAAAGCCGUAGGUGGUUUAUUUGAACGAAAAUCGGCCAUGAACCGUGGCCGAAAAUUCUGAUUCCGCGGGCGUUGUGUCUCAACCACUUCGGCCUUGCCUUUCCCUUUGUCCUUGGGUAGGUACGCGUCGACCAUAUUUACUGUUGCCGUGGGGAACGGAUCAGUAUCAACACUCAUCCUCUUCUCGGGAAACUUCAGUUUGCCAUUAUCAAUCCAGCUUUGGACGUUAUCGCGAAAUACAACGCAAUUGUUUGUCGUAUGUUUGCUUGAAUUGUGGUAUUUGCAAUACACCUUUCCUUUAAGCUCUUCGGCCUUAGGAAUGUUAUGACCAGGCCGAAGCUUAAUGAUUCUUGCUGAUAACAGUUGGUCAAAAAUUACGUCGGCCUUGGUAAUAUCAAAAGUAUAAACCUUUGACGGUUUCAAUGCUCCUUAAGUGGCCGAGCGACUUUUGGCUUCUCUAGAAUCAACCUGAAUCAAUGCCUUGCAAACGUAUGGCUUAUCUAUCACUAUCUCAACCGCAUCCACACUAACGCAUUCAUCCUCGGUUGAUGCAUAAUUGACAGUAGGGUUCUUGUAAAUCGUUCCCUGAGUUGGAGUCUUCGAAGUCUUUUCCUCGCGGAGCAAAUAAUCAUACUGCUCAACAUGUUGGGCUAAUUCGUACAUAUCCCGAAAAAUUUGCCCCCAAGAAUUUCUUUUUGUAUUCGACGUCAAGGCCGUUCAAAGCAAGCCUAACAAAUUCGACUUCGGGUAAAGGCACUCGGCACCAAUUCCUAGCUGAUUUGAACCUGGUAAGAUAAUCCAUUGGUGAUUCAUCAGAUGCUUGAGCCAUUCGUGCUAAUGAAGAGACCGACAUCUCCAUCCCCGGCCGAUAAAACUGCUCGUGGAAUUUCUCGACCAACUCCUCCCAGUUUUGGACGGAAUUAGGAGGGAGAUUGAUGUACCAGGCAAAUGCCGAGCCAGUCAAUGAAAAGUUGAACAGCCGUAACUUAUGGAAAUCACUAUUAACAUCUCCGCAUUGCGCGGUGAAACGGGCCACGUGCUCCAACGAGGACAGGGACGAUUCACCGGUAAAAAGACUAAAAUCUGGGAUCUUGAAACCCUUUGGGUAUCCAAACGUUUCCACGUAAGCUGGGUACGGAUGAAUAAACUUGGGAAACUUCGGCCCUUUCUUCAUGGCCGAGUCGAUUAUCCGCUGAACUUCGGUCAUAUCAACAGGUGUUGCUUCGAUCCUCUGGUCGGUCCCGUCUGACCUACUAUUCGACCCUCCUCCUUUUUCCAAUAAUUGGUUUGAGCGGAGCAGGAAUAGGCUCGGCCGGUACAAUCGGCACCGGGUUGUUUCUUGGUGGACAAUGUUGGAGAAGAUCGAAAGGCCUGCUGCCACCAACUUUACUAACCAGCAUUUCGAGUAGCCUGGUUUGUUGAUCAUUGGAACUGAGUAUCGCGUCAUGCAGCUUGUCAAUGCCUCGGCUGAACGUCUGCUCGACUGACCGAGACUGCUCGUCUAGUCACUUUCGGAGAAACGACCUCGUUGGUGGGUCAGAUCCUUCACCACCAUCCUCGUCACACUCCUCUACUAUCCCUUCAUUGAGAACGCAUGUGUUUCUGUUAGGGAUUUCUAAACCACGGAGUUGACCGCCGAGAUUAACUUCUCUCUCUCGGCGAGUCGCACUCGUGGACUCAGGUGUCGUAGUGCUAAGGGGAUUCUGCGCCUGUGGCACACUCUGUCCUAUGCUCUGACUCGGCAAAUUGGAUGUCGACUUUCCCAUAGCUGUUUUCUUUUUUACCGAUCGUGUUUCAAUUGGCAUGAACUUCGUAGUUUAGCACUGGGUCCCACCGGGCGUGCCAAAAUGUUGACCCUAGAAACUACCAAGCCUACGUGGCGCGCAGGCCGAGUAAUUAAUGAGCUAACUACGUCCUUCGGUGAAUGCGGGGCGUGCCAACUCGUCGGCCGAGCUCGGCCGAGGAGUAAAUUUGUUGAUGUUGCGUUGGGUCGUGCUACUGACUUCUGCGUCUUGCGAUUGCUACCGAGAAAGGAACACGUCUCGGCCUCUUGGGCUCUCGAACUUGAAGACAAGGUUACUAUUCUUACGAAGUUCAAUAUCAAAUUCGGCUUUCAAUGUGCCGAAUGUAAUAACUGUAACACCUCACUUCGCCGAGAAGGCUGAUGAGAGGACCUCGACCAAUAAGGAUUUAGAAACCCUUCUCGGCCGAGACUUGGAUAGGUAAUCAAUCGUUCUCGCCGCAGUGCUGUUGAUGCCAACGGAAGAUACUGCGAGACCGACUGAUUCUACGAUGACAGAGUUAUCUAUGCCGACUUAAGAUAUCACCGGUUGCUUCCACAGUGCUGUUGAUGCCAACGGAAGAUGUGUCAGCGAAAAAGGAAAAAGAAAAAUCACAAGUUGUGAGAGUUUGCGCAGGGCAAUUUUGUAUUGAUUUGCAGGGGGCUUCGAAUGAUGUGCAACCUCUUCUAUUUAUAGCAAUGGCUCCCCCCAAGGUCGAGUUAGAGACCUACUCGGACUAGGUUUUCUUCCCCUGAUCAGCAUCAACUCGACCAGUCCUACCUUCACUAGGACUGUGAACCUAGUCCUUAACUGAGUCAGAUUCGCUUCCGGGUCCUGCCGAGACUCCUUAUGGCACUAGGAUUCGACCUCUUGUGUUACGACCUAGCCGACCUAGGUUUGGAGGCCCACGUACUGAACGAUCAAUGGUAUUCUUGCCGCAAGGCCUUCUGGGCUGAGAAUGACCCUACAUUCGGCCUAAACUGUUAUUUUGGGCCCAAACAGAAAGGAAAACUAAUGAAAAUGACUUGAAAACGUUGAGUUUUAACGAUAAGGACAAAAUAAAGGGUAAAGUGAAUAGUACCAAGAUUGACUUUUUAGUGAAAAAAUGUGGUUUUUUUCUUUAAAGUGAACAGUACCGGGAGCUUUUCGUUAAAGUUCCCUUAAAAGAAUGCUAACGCUAUGUAUAAAUGGUUAUGUUUUGUUUUAUGUAUGAAUAUUGAUAUAUAUAUAAUUGUAGGGAGCGGCACAUGCACAACUUAUUUUCAAUUUCUGAUUUUCAAUUGAUUUGAUUUAUAUCAAGUUUGGGUUGGAAUGGAUUUGACUGCAUAUCAUAUGCAAGUCGACAUGUAUUAUAAAGCAACAAAUACAAAUGCAUAUAUAAAGUGGAUGUCAAUUGCUUUGUGAUUUAUAUAUAAUAGCAUAUAUGAAUGAAAUCUGUAUGCAUAUGGACAGUGGCGAAGCUACGUGAGGGCGAGGAGUGGCGGCCGCCCCUCCCCUCGCCGGAAAUCAAGCCCAGGAGUGGUGGUUCCGCCCCUCUGGUCUCGUCGAAUGUGAUGAAAUUCCGUAUGGUUUUCGGUCUUUUGGAUGUCCCUGCUCUAUCCCAGCACAGGCUGAUCGCGUGCUCUCUUAUUUUCCACAAAAAAAAAACAUAGGCCAAAGAAAGGAGGAACGAAGAUCUGCAUUUUGCAAUUUCUGGAGAAAGGAAAAUAAGUUAUGGAACUCUGGUUCUAACGAAGAAGAAGAGAAAGGAAGAAGAGAGAGACUUUCUCUCUCUCCCAUCCCACGUGACCUUUCUUAAUUACAAUUUGUUUUUUUUUUAAAUAUUGGCCAAUCAAUUGGCACCACCUAACCUGCUUUGUUUAUUUUUUUAAUUAUUGUCAGAUUUUUAUUUGACCACUCUUUUAAUAUUUUUAAGCCAUUUGUUUGACACUAUUAUUUAUCUUAAAAUUCAUUAUAAAUUUAUACAAGCUUCAAAAAAUAAUUUGUAAAAUAUUACGAACUCCUCAUUAUUUUAUUUCUUUCUCUUCCCAUCAAAUUCAACAAAGUAAUAAAGAAAAUUUGUCAAUAUUUUUAUAUAUUAUAUGUUUUAUAAUAAAUAUUUUUUGGAUAUUAUAAGCUAUAUAAUAAAUAGACAAUUAUUUAUACGGUAUAUAAUAAAUUUAUUCAAAUUUGCCUACGCCCUCGCCUAAGUGUAAAGUCAUGUCCAUCGCUUGAUUAGAGCUUAGCAUCUUUUAAAACUUUGCUAAUUAUACAAUUAAGUAAUAGGACGAUACAACGAGAAACGGUGCUAAAUCAUCCUUCAAAUAAUAUUGUUGUUCAAACCCUCCUUCGACUAUUUUGAAUAGUCCAAAUCCUCUUUUGAAUAUUUCGCCCCUCCUCCAGAAAAUUCCUGGCUUCGCCACUGCAUAUGGAGAUAUCAUUUGUGCAUUAAUUGUUUUAAAAAACUCUCAUGAUAUCUCCAUGUUUGAUUCACCAUACAAUUUGGGCAUUUGAUUAAUUACAGAUCAAUAACAGUUUUGCGUUGCUUAAUUUUCUUGUAAUAAAGCAAACAUAAAUAUGUGAGCAUCCAUAGAUUUUUCGAAUGUCAAUUACUGUGAAUACAUUAACUGGUUUUUGGGUUUUAUGCUGACAUUAGUUUGGGAUGGAAUUUGAGGCUUACGGUAUUAUUACAUUUUUAAGCAUGUGACAGAUUCCUUAUCGAUUUGUGCAUAGACGUUGUAAUUAUGGGCAUGCGAUUAAAUCUAUAUCAAAUAUAACUUGCAUAAGUUUCUCUGCAUAUUGAUGCAUGCAUACAAGAAAAUAUAUGAAUAGAUGAAUGAACAUACAUGUGUGAAAUAUGUUUUGGCUACAAUCGUUGUGGAGCCAAAAAUAUUCACAGGGCGACACGUGAAUUUUCGGACAAAAAGGACAAAAAUACCCUUGCAGUACAACGAGGUUCCUACGCGCAAGCAGCGGGCAACCCUCUUUCAACCAAGACAGAAGUGCCCAAAAUAGGUAACAAUUCAAAGUCCAUCUCAUCAAAUCCUUUCUACAAGGUAAUUCCCAAACACAUUCCUUUUAAAUUAUGUUAAUUGGCUAAUUAAUGGGUUUAUUGCCUAAUUAACCCAUUAAUUGUCAAUUAAACCAUCCAUUAUAUCCAAAUAACCACAAAAUACAUCAAAUUCAACCCUAAAACACCACAUGACCGGCUAUCUCCAUUUCAAAACCUAAUCCAUCACUUUUUUCUACCUUUUUCACCAUUUCUUCCUUUUUAUUACACAAUAAAUUCAAAAACCACCAAAACAUUCAUUUUAUGUUUAAUAGCCAAAUAAAUUGGCUAAUUAAACCUAAAUCAAACCCAAAAAACCCUAGCCACCUCCUAUCCCUAUAAAUAUACUCUCAUUCUCACCACAAAGCCAAGUCCAAUUCUCUUACAAAAAAUCCCAAAUACUCUAAACACUAUUUCUCUCUAAAAUUCUAACUUUGGCAUCAGAGGUUCUUCGGCCAAAGCCCCCUCCAUUCAUCGUGGGCGCGUGAGGCUUUUGGCCUUAACCUAAAGUGCUAGUUGUUUUGUAGGUGCAAAAUCGUCCAAGAUCGAGAAGGAGAAAAUUUGCAUCCACAAUCGUUAUUGUGCAUAUAUGGUGGAUCUGUAUACAUUGGUGUAAUGUGGGUUUUAGUUUGUAAUUAUCUUAUUUUUCAUUAGUUGACCCAAAUUAGAUUUUGUGGCUAUAUAUAUUAAUCAUAGCCUUAAAAAUUUAUUUGUAUGAUUAUAUAGGUCAAGCUAUAAAUUUUGAGAAUUAGUUUGUAUCAUCCAUAUACAGGGAUGAGAAACAAAUUAGCUUAUGUGAGUUGUUGUCAAUAUUUUUGUACAACACAAAUUGACAUUGCCGAAUGCAUAUUAAUUUAAUUCAUGAAUUCAUAAGAAAGCAUGUGCUUAUUGUAUUGUGAAAAUCAUGGAAUAAGUUGCAUGCUUAUUGUAUAGGUGUAUUUGUGAUUUCCUUCCGCCAUUAUGUUUUGAUUGAAAUCGCAAAUAGGGAGGAAGAAGAAUUUUGAGUUCUCCAGAAAAAAUAGUGGUCUUGAUUAUCUCAUUUUAAUCAAGACAUAUUGUUGUGAUAUAUAACCAGACAUUAUCAAGAUUGGUUGAUCUUGCUCAAUGGAUAUUGAUCUAGUUAGGAUCAAAUUGAAAGCAAAAAUAUUGUGCUUGCUAUUCUGAUUUUGAUCGUUGUUUAAACUAGUGAUUUUGGGUUUAUGUGAGAUAAAUUUUUCCGAAUGGAUUGAGACUUUUUUUGUUUUUGAUACAUAGACUGUUUGCAUAAUGGUUUAUAUGUAUAUAAAUAAAUUGAGAUUAUGCAAUUGGUGAGGAAUUGGGAACCAAUAGGUUCAAAUCUCCGGUAUCUUAAUUUAUUGGUUGUGCAGUACUUUUUACUUAUGCUCAAGUGGGAGAAUCAUAUGUUCGAAUGUGAGUAUAAGGCUAAGAGUAUUUAGGCCGGUCAUUAUAAUUCAUUUGGAUGCUUAGAAACCAGUUUAUGGUUUUAUUGAAGCAACUAGUUAAAUUAUUUAUGUUAAUUAAUUAGUUUAAGUAAUGAGAAAUUUAGUGCUAUUUGUUGGAACUAAACUUAACUUGAAUGCUUAAAAACCAAUUUAUGGUUUUAUUGAAGCAACUGGUUAAAUUAUUUAUAUUAAUUAAUUAGUUUUAAGUAAUGCGAAGUUUAGUGCUAUUUGUUGGAACUAAACUUGACUUGAUAUAGUGGGAGUAAACUAAUUUAUCUGUUUGUUCUGGUCAAGUAAAAACACAUUGUUAUAAAUACAAAUUUGAUGCAUGUGAUCAUGAAAUCUAUUUGCAUAUAGGUCGCAUCAAUGUUUCUUUGAUUAUGCAUUUUGAAAUGUAUAGAUAUAAUGUAUGUGAUGUGAAUCUCUUAUGCAAUGAGACUAACUGAUCAAAUUGAUCACUUCUAUUAAAAGUUUGUGAAGCCGAAAAUUUAGCUUAGUUCAUGCUCAAGUGGGAAAAUAUAAGAUAUAAGGAUAUGAGCAUGAUAGUAAGUGGGUUGUGAUUUUGACAGCUGGUAUGAUUGAUUCAAACUAGUAUAGAAGGUCAUAUGAUAAGAGGAUUAUAUGAAUCGCUAAGGAAUAGGAUUGAAACUGCAGAAGGAUCCUAUCAUAUCGGUUAGCAUUCAAAAGGAUAUGAAUUUGGUUCCUUAUAUGGAUUCUGAUAAGUUGUUCAGUGUAUUGCAAUGACUGUUAGUUAAUACAGUUGAUAUUAACUUGUACUUAACUUGGUUGUGUGAAGUAUGGCCUAGAUGAGUGGGAGCAAAUUGGUUUGGUUUUGCUACAUCAGUUGGUUCACAUAAUUACCAAGUGCAAAUUAAGUAUGUUGUGAUUUUUGGGUUAAUUCUACGAUGUAACAGAAAAGAUUCUUAAGUUCCAUACUUUAAAAUGCAUAAGGAAGUUGUAUGUGAGGUUAAACUUUUGCUAUCCAAAAGAUUUGGUGAUCACUUCUAUGAAUAUGAAAGGCUAUGUGAUUAAUAUGUUUCAUACUCAAGUGGGAGAAUGUUAAAAUAUGAGUAUAUGAAACUGAAUAUUAUAGCCGGUUGUAGUGUUUCAAUUGACAUUGAAAAGUCUUGCUAGAAAGCUUAAAACUAUCCUAAUUCUUGUGGGAUUGAAAUUCAAAUAUGAUUUGAAUUCAUAUUUGGUAUCCUAUAGUGAUUCUAAUAGGAGAAUCAAUUAGGAUUGAUCUAUUAUAAAUAGUGGUCACUGCUCUCAGAAAAUGUACACUCAAUAUUGAAUUAAGACCUAUUGUUAGUUUGAGUACUUUUGGUUUUGCAAGAGAGGAGAAGGUGCAUUAUUUACAAUUUUGCUUUGGCUUCUUCUGCUACUGUUUUUACGGGUUAGUUUGUCAUUGUGUUUAUCGAAUUGUGAUUUUAAUACUUUUAUAAAUUUGUGGUUCAUGAGCUUAACUCUUCACUUAUAUUUUUGAUAAGCUUAGUCUUACCCCUCAAGAUUAAUGAUGAGAAACCAUCUCUUGCCUAUGAGCUCUUUGAUUCCGCUAAGCUUGAUAUUUUUUGACUUGUUCCAUAUGCUUGGUAAGUAUCAAGGUUUUCAUAUAUUGGAUUAUUGAAUAUGUAUUUGAGUUGUUAAUAUGUUAACACUUAUAGGGUUUUUACCACCUGCAAAAGUAGGAAUAAAAACACUUAAAAAUACUUGCAGGAGAACAAGGUAGUUGUAGUAUAAACGGCUCAAGCAAGAUUGUUUUCCACAUGGAUUGAAUGAAUAAUUUGUGUUUAAAACCAACUCUUAAUUUAUUAUUUAAAACAAAGUUUGGAAAAUGUUGAUUUUAGAAUUUAAAAUAAUAAAAACGAACUUAAAUUAAAAACAAUUAAAUUAAUUAAUUAGAAACCAAUUUAAAGAAAAUCAAUUUGUAAAAGCCCUAGGGUUCAGCCGUCACCUUAACAAUCUUACGUAAUUCUUCCAAUUACUUAUGAAUUACCAUGCAUAUUUCGAAGGUUAUAUUUUCCUAAUAUAUAUCCUACUUGGAACCUCCAACAUAGAACGUAUAUCUAAUGUGGAUGCAAAUUUCUUCCUCCUUGUUCUUGGACAAAAUUGCACCUACAAAAAAACAACACCUUAAGUCAAGGCCAACAGCCUCAUGCGCCCACGAUGAAUGGAUGGGUGACUUUGGCCGAAGAACCUCCGAUGCCAAAGUUAGACUUUUGAGAAGAAAAAAAUGUUUGGAGAAUUUAGAGAAUUUAACAAGAGUGUAGAACUUAGGUUUGGAGAAAAUGAGGGUGUUUAUAUAGGGGUGUGGCCGGCCCCUUAGGGAGGAGGAGGACCAGCCACUUGGAUGGUUUUUUGGGUGAGAUUCAUGAUUUGUUAGCUAAUUAAUAAAUUAAUUAGGUAAUAAAUCAAUAAAUUAGCUAAUUAAUAUAAUUAGAAAGGAAUGAUUUGGGGGUUACCUUGUGGAAAAGAUUUGAUGAGGAUGGAUGAAAUAGGUUUUGAAUAAAUACCUAUUUUGGGCACUUUUGACUUGAUUGAGGGAUGAUUGCCCACUGCUUGCGCGUAGAAAUCUCAAUGUGCCUCGAGGGUAAUCUUGUCUUUUUAACCCAAAAAUCCAUGUGUCGCCUCCAUAUUUUUCUUGAUUAUUUUUUGCUCCACAAAUGCCCCCACACCUGCUGGGCUACUUGUAGGAAAGGGUAGCAAGUGUAGAGAUCUCCAACUUUGAUGCAGAUUCUCACUUGGACUUGGAAUUAGAUUCUUCUAGAAAAGGGAAAUAAAUCGCCUCCAAAUCCUAUUUAAGCCUACCUUAAGUAUGAGAUUAAAUCAACUUUGGAGGGCAAUUAUUUGUCCAUACAAGAAAGAGAGAAAGCUAGAGGAUAUUUGUUCUCCCUCCCUAACAUUCUUAUUUUCUUGCCCGUGCAAAGAACCUUAUUCCGUUGAUUUCUUUGUCUUCUCCAUGCCGCACCUAUGUAAGAAAAACUUAAUUCUCCUUGUCUUCUUCUUGGGUGGUGCUGCCACGGGGUAGUCGUCAGGGUGGUGCAGCACGUCGGUUGGUAUGAGCCAGGAGUUGGCUUGGCAUGGACCAAGAAGGUAGUGUGGUAGGGGCCAUUGCUUGUGCUGCUCGGCUUGACUGAAGCCAAUGAUUAACUCAGCAUGGGCUGAGGAAGUGGCGUGGCAUGGGCCACAGUUAGGGCUGCCUUGUUUAAGCUGCUUGCCAAAAAUGAGGAACUGCUUGAGUUUGAUUUCUCAGCUGCUGUAGAUGGAGCAGUCAAGGAUGAAGUUGCCAAGAUCGGAGAUGCUGGAGAUGAAGUGUCGGCUAAGCGAACUGUUUAGUGCAAAGUGGCUGUUGCCCCCUGAUCACUUGCUGCCUAGUUGGUAUUCAAGCAUUCGACCUUUUGACCUAUGUGGCCUUCUCGCACUAGAGAGUUUACCAAGAUGGGUGUCAGGUAAUUAGUUUACCCUCUCGUAGUGGAGAGCUUGCCCAUAUGGGUGUUAGGGAAUUGGUUUACCCGCUCACAGUGGAGAGCAAUUAGUUUAACCGCUCACAAUGGAGAGCAGAUCCAUCUGGGUGUAGGGGAAUUGGUUUACCCUCUUGCUGUAACAUCCCACAUUGACCAACAGAGAGGGGGUAAUGUGCCUUAUAUGUACAUGCCUACCUCCAUAUAGCACGAGGCCUUCUAGGAGCUCAAUGGCUUCGGAGUUCAUCACUCUGAAGUUAAGCGAGUUUGUGCGAGAGCAUUCUUAGGAUGGGUGACCUACUGGGAAGUUCUCAUGUGAGUUCCCAGAAACAAAACCGUGAGAGCGUGGCUGGGGCCUAAAGUGGACAAUAUCAUGCUACAGCAGAACCGAUCUGGGACUUGACAGAAUGGUAUCAGAGCCACUCUGUCAUUCGGUGGGAGUGUGCCAACGAGGACAUCGGGCCCCUAAGAGGGGUGGAUUGUGAGAUUCCACAUUGACCAACCGAGAGGGGGUGAUGUGCCUUAUAUGUACAUGCUCAUCUCCCUAUAGCACGAGGCCUUUUGAGAACUCACUGGAUUCGAAUUCCAUCGGAACUUCGAAGUUAAGCGAGUUUGGGCGAGAGAAAUCCCAUGAUAGGUGACCCACUGGGAAGUUUUCGUGUGAAUUCCCAGAAACAAAAUCGUGAGGGCGUGGUCGGGGCCCAAAGCGGACAAUAUCGUGCUACGGCGGAGUCGAGACUGGAUGUGACAGAAUGGUAUUAGAGCCACUCUGCCGUGCGGUGCGAGUGUGCCGACAAAGACGUCGGGCCCCUAAAGGGGUGGAUUGUAACAUCCCACAUCGACCAACGAAGAGGGAGUAAUGUGCCUUAUAUGUACAUGCCCACCUCUAUAUAGCACGAGACAUUUUGGGAGCUCAAUGGCUUCGGAGUUCUGACCCACUGGGAAGUUCUCAUAUGAGUUCCCAUAAACAAAAUCAUGAGGGCGUGGCCCAAAGCGGACAAUAUCGUGCUACGACGGAGCCGGUUUGGGAUGUGACACUCGCACUGAAGAACAAUUAGUUUAAUCUCUCGCAUUUGAGAGCAGACCCAUAUGGGUGUUGGGGAAUUGGUUUACCCUUUCGCAUUGGAGAGUAGAUCCAUAUGGGUGUCGGGGAAUUGUUUUACCCUCUCACAAUGGAGAGCAAUUAGUUUAUCCUCUUGCAAUGGAGAGCAGACCCAUAUGGGUGUCGUGGAAUUAGUUUACCCUCUCGCAUUGGAGAGCAAUUAGUUUAUCCUCUCGCACUGGAGAGCAGAUCCAUAUGGGUGUCGGGGAAUUGGUUUACCCUCUCGCACUAGAAAGCAAUUAGUUUAUCCUCUCGCACUGGAGAGCAGACCCAUAUGGGUGUCGGAGAUUUGGUUUACCCUCUCACAUUGGAGAGAAAUUACUUUACCCUUUCACACUGGAGAGCUUACCCAUAUGAGAUUCAUCUUUUUGAAGCCUUCUCUGCGGGCAGUGGCGAAGGCUUUUCUUAUGACCAUAUUCCCAGGCUAGAACUACCGGAUCUUGGGCCAUUUGUUGUAGAUGGUGAGAAGUUGCUGCUGGUAGGCUAUGAUGCGGGUGAUGGUAGCGUUUCUCCUCUGCCAGAUCUAAGCGUGUGGCCAUCUCCUUACUAUUCUGCUUGAUGCUUGGCAGUAGAGUGCUGAUAAUUGGCACGAUGAUAUUGGGAUGAAUGAUUACUUCUGAACCAAAUGCCAAAGAGAAAUGAGUCUUACAAGUGGCUCGUCGUUUGGUGGUGCAAUAUGCCCAUAGACAUUCGGGGAAUUCAUCUGGCCAUUUUCCCUUCUUGUCAGAGAGGGACUUCUUGAGGCAGUCGAGGAUCGUCUUGUUGGAUGCUUUGAAGCCUAGAGUGAUCGCCUGCUCGGGCAUUGAAUCGUCUGGGGUGACAAGGACCACGCAUGCUCCCGAACCUGUGUAGUUUGAUGCGCCGUCGACAUGCAAAUGCCAGAAGUCUCUAUCGGGUGGAGCAGGCGUGGCUAGGGCGUGCUCGGCUACCUCCGGGGAGUCGUUGGGCCGCUCUAUUGCGUUGCCUAGGCUAGGCGUGAAGGCGCAGUAGGAAGUCAUGGAGCUGAUAUCAUGUUACACAUAACAGAAGAUGCUUAACUGCCAGUAUUAGGCUGCUUUAGAGCUGAAUUAUGGAGCAAAGGUCGGCUGGGGCCAUGUGAUGCAUUGCAAGAGGUGAUUUUCAAUUGCCGGUACAUGUUGCUCCUAUGUAGAAUCUUUUGGGCCGACAAGGACAAAACUUGCUUCCGAGUGUGUUCUUCUAGUGUUCGCUGCCCUUGGCUUGCCUUUUGGGCUGAGUUGUUGAGUUCGUCAGAAAACUUUGCAUCCGCCAGUGUCUACGCCUUUAUCGUCGCGUGUCUGGAUUAGGCGGAAUAGUGCAUCAUGAGGAUGACUGGGUGCGUCUGAAGGGGCUGUACAGCUUUUUAUCCUGCCUGUGAAUUCAAGUCUUGUAUAAGAGAUUUCUAAAAUUGAUAUGAAAUGUUGUAGCACUCUUAAAAUACCGCUCUCACUCUUCAAUAGUUCAAUUGCAUAUUUCAUGCCUCUUAUGAUGUAGGAGCACAUAUGACUGGUCCAUAACACUUGACAUUUUUUUCCCGCAAACUGCGAAGACUGUGAUGUACAAUUUUGAUUAGUUCAACUAAAACAUAAACCUUCAGUAGCUGUAGUGUAGGAAUACCAAGACAUUAGUAGGUAGGUGUUGUAGACAAGAAAGCAUGUUGAUGUUGUUGCGCUUCAUUUGAGGUUUCAUGUGAUUUAUUUUUGUCUUCCGCUUUACAGGACACGGUUUUUGAUCCAGUUUCUCUUACAAGCGGCCAUAUAUUCUGCUACAUGUGUGCUUGCUCGGCUGCAUCAGUGCCUAUUGUCGAUGGAUUAAAGUCUGCAGAGCCUAAAGAAAAAAUGCCCUCUAUGCUGAGAGAUGAGUAAAUAUCUUCUUUCUAAUUGGAUGGAGUGCUUCGCUACAAUCAAAACUAUUGUUGCUCACUGUUUUGUGAUUUUUCGUGUUGAUUUCAGGCGAGAGUUUUCGAAGGGGCUGUACAUUUAGAAGAGCUUAACAUGUUAAUUAGCAGAAAGUACGUUUUUGUUCAGCAUAUUCUCAUUUAGAAUCCUUAUAUGAGUAAAUGAUCAUCCUUUACAUGCAAUUUUUCAUUCUUAUUUAUUCAUGUUUUAACAGCUGCCAUGAAUACUUGGAGCAGAGACUCCAGACCGAGAGAGUACAGAGGGUUCGGCAAGCAAAGCAGCACUGGGAAUCCCAGUGCCGGGCAUUCGUUGGCGUUUAGUCGCUGCCCCGUGGUUGGGCUUCUGUAACCCGCCAACUAUUUUAUAGUUUGGAAAGCCAUUAACUUCUUGUUUCUGGCUGUUUAGCUUCUUGUAUGUAGCGUUUGAAUAGCAUAUGUUGUCAAAGUUUUGGGACUUAACAUUCGGUUCGAGUAAAUUUGCAUUUUUGGAUUAUGGUCAAAUGCAUCCUGGCUCCUUCAACCUUGCAACAAAGUAUCCGAGGGUACAAUUAUAUUUUGUACUGCUAUUUGUAUCAUAUUUAUUGAUCACUUAACUGACCACUUAUAUAUGAGAUCCACCUACAUUAGAAUUUAGAGUCCAAAUAGCGGCACUAGUAUUUCAGGGGUGGGAUCUUCUUUGGAAUCCCAUGCAUGGCUUGGACGCGGUAUCUUCUUGGAAAGCUUUUCUUCGCGGAGAGCCGGGGAAUUAUGUUCAAUUGCUUUCGGAGGUUGUGGUACCUGCUGUGAGAAUUGCUGCUGUCAAUACUUGGCAGGCCAAGGACCCCGAACCAAUGCUGCGGUUUUUGAAGUCUUGGGAGAAUUUGCUGCCCCCUUGUGUUCUUGAAUCCUAUACGGUAGUCUUGCCUAAACUCAAGGAUGCCGUUGAUUUGUGAAACCGCGUCAAGACACCAUUGGGGUUGCGUCCAUGGCUACCAUACUUGUCCCACGUAAUUGAUACCAGUACUGUAAGAACUCAUGAAUUGCAGAAUACAACAACAACAACAACAACAAAGCCUUUUCCCACUAAGUGGGGUCGGCUAUAUGAAUCCUAGAACGCCAUUGCGCUCGGUUUUGUGUCAUGUCCUCCGUUAGAUCCAAGUACUCUAAGUCUUUUCUUAGAGUCUCUUCCAAAGUUUUCCUAGGUCUUCCUCUACCCCUUCGGCCCUGAACCUCUGUCCCGUAGUCACAUCUUCGAACCGGAGCGUCAUUCGGCCUUCUUUGCACAUGUCCAAAUCACCGGAGCCGAUUUUCUCUCAUCUUUCCUACAAUUUCGGCUACUCCUACUUUACCUCGGAUAUCCUCAUUCCCAAUCUUAUCCUUUCUCAUGAAUUGCAGAAUAAUGGAAGAAAAGAAUGUAAGACUUAACUUAUCAAAAAUAAAAGUUAAGAGAUUAAGCUCAUGAACCACAAAUUUAGACAAGUAUUAAAAUCACAAUUCGAUAAACAUAAUGACAAACUAACUUGUAAAAAAACAGUAGAAGAAGAAGCCAAAUUAGACUUCAAACAAUGCACCUUCUCCUCUCUUGCAAAACCAAAAGUACUCAAACUAACAAUAGGUUUUAGUUCAGUAUGGAGCGUAUAUUUUGUGAGAGCAGUAGCUUAUUGGAUUAACUCUUGUCAACAUGAUUUAGACUUCUUUAUAAUAUCAAUUAUCCCAAGACUUGUAAGAAUCAUACUCAUACUCUUACAAAGAAUGCAGUUGUUGAGAGAGAGAGAGAGCUAUGAAUUUCAGUAUAUUUCAUCAAGUGAAUUACAAUGACAGUUUCACACUAUAUAGCUUAAUGGCUCCCUUACACUCUAAGCUAUUAGCACCAACAACUCUAACUAAUAGCUGCAACAAUUCUAACUAACUGUCGCAUUAGCUAACAACCUUACUUACUGUUUUGCCAUAGCACAACUAAUCUUUAGACUAUACUACCCUUUGGUCAAUAUUGGUUAAUAUCCCCCCUCGAUCUUAACUUGGGUGGCCAAGCUUAAGAUUGUAACAGUGCUUGACAAAUGAAGGACCAUGUAAACCCUUGGUUAGUAUGUCAACAGAUUGAUCUUCAGUAGGAAUGUAGCUGACUUCCUAAGUCACCUUGUUGCACUCUCUCUCUCGAACAAAGUGGUAAUCGGUAUCCAAGUGCUUUAUCCGAGAAUGAAACACCAGAUUUGCACUCAAUGCAAUCGCAUACAUAUUUUCACAAUGAAUGACUGGAGGUGUAGGCAAAAAUAAUUCCAAAUCCUUUAAAAUAUACAUGAUCCAAGCUAUAUCAACAACACUGUGAGCCAAGGCCUUACAUUCUGCUUUAGUAGAACUCCUGGAAAUCUUUGACUGCCAAAAUAUAGGAUUAUUGCCAAGAAAAAACUAUAUAUCUAGUCACACAUCUUCAAGUAUUCAAGUCUACGGCCCAAUCUGAGUCUGAGAAGGCAUUAAGACUUGCUUCUGCAUCUGCUGAAUAUAGAAUCCACUGUUUCGGUAUACACUAUGUGUCCUAUAUAGUGCCAUACUUCAAUGUUCCUUGAAGAUAUCUCAGUAUUCGUUUCACAGCUCCAAGAUGAAUAUCAGUUGGUGAUUUCGUAAACUGACAUACUAAAUGUACUGCAAAUGCAAUAUCUGGCAUAGUGAAGGCCAAAUAUUGUAAGGAUCCAACUAUACUCCUAUAAAAUGCAGGAUCAUUGAGAGGAAUUCCUUCUGUCACUAACAACGAGUUGUGUGCUUUGCAUGGUGUUGAACAAAGUAAAGAAAAUCAAGGAUCGAAAUUAAGAGGUGUGUAAAAGAUAAAAAAAAACCGCAAAAAUGACAACCCUAAAUCAAAAGAGAUCACAAUAAAUAAAUGGCUAUAGUCUCUGAUAUUUGCGUAACUCCUCACUUUGGUCCCUGAUAUUUGAAAUCAAUAGAAAUAGUCAUUGAGUUUGUCCACCAUUAAUCAUUUUGGUAUUUCCAUAAAAAAAUCUUCAUUAAAUAAAGCUAAAUAAAAAAAAAUACCCUCCAUUUUUGUCACAUCAUUUGACCCAUUGUUUAUUAAAUUGAGGGUAUUUUUAUCAUUUUUGUCCUUAUUUAAUAUAUUUUUUUAUGAAAAAACUAAAAUGAUUGAUGAUGGACAAACUCAAAUACCACUUCUAUUGAUUUCAAAUCUUACGGACCAAAGUAAUGAGUUAUACAUAUCUCAAUGACUAUUUUUGCUAAAAAAAACCUAAAUAAAUAAAUGUGUGCAUGGGAGAAAAGUAGUUUGCAGGAAUCACUCCUUAUUGCGUAAAAACAAAGCGGCUUCUGCACAUUUGUUAUUUUCCGCGACAGUUUAUUCCUCUACUUUGCAUUAUACAGGUGCAUGAAAAUCACUUCAUGUCGCAGUUAGAUUCUUACCGGGGCCGGCGAAGCCCACGGCGACGGAAACCUGGACCUUGGCGUGGACGAUGAUGAGCUUGAAGGGAGCUUUGUCGCCGUCGAAGGACUUGAAGAAGUGGUCCAAAGUCCAUUCCAGAGCGUACUGGCUCUGCUCGCUCUCGUCCGCCCCGAUCACCAUCACUUGCUUGUCUGCCGCCAUUAAUGCUCACCCUUCUCUCCCAAGUCCUUCACCGUCUUUCUUGUGUUAUCGUUUCUCUCUCUAGAAAAUCAGCUUUUUUUUGUCAGCUUUUGGAAUAAGAGCUUUUCUUGCCGGCUAUUUAUACGAAGGCCUUGUGCUUUCAAUGGAAUCGGUUCGAACGAGCGAGCUUGCUUGCUUGAUUCUUCAUACUUGGUACAAACAGCGUCGUCUGAUUUGGUGGAUGUGAAUAUAGCUUAAUUCCUAAUCAUUCAGGUUACCUCUAGAAAGAAACGACGGGCGGUUAAGGCAAAACAAUCACAGAUUGGCGCGUGAAUAUAGCUUAAUGGUAUUCCUGUUUCUCUGCUAUUGGCAAUGGAUAAUUAGUAAUUGUUAAUUGUUGAUUAAGGCAAAUACUAAUAACAGGGUAAAUGUAUAAUAUGAAAUUGACUAAUCAAGCAACACCAGAAUUUUUACUAGAUCAUAUUAUUAUUAUGAGUAAAUUGUCGAUUUGCCCCUUGAACUAUCACCUAAUUUUCGAUUUGUCCCCUGAACUUUUUAAUUGGAAAAUUAAGGACUUAACUAAUUUUUUUUGGCCGAUUUGCCCCUGCUAUUAAUUUUUCAUUCACCCCAUCCAAAUUUUUGUUAAAUUGAAGCAUUUGCACAACAUGUAAGGGUAGUUUGGUCGCUUCACUUUUUAAAAUAAUUGAAAACCUUAGAUUUCUAAAAUAUAAACCUAAGCAAAUAUGUGUGAUUCUAUAAAAUUUUGUUCUUAAAAUAAAAGCGAAUGAACCUAAGAUCACAUGGUGUUACACAAUUGAGGUUAUAAUUUGGCAAAAUUAUGAAAAACUAACGGUAAGGUAAAUUGGCCCAAACAUGAGUUUAAGUCGUUAAUUUUCAAAUAAAAAGUCAUGGCGAAAAUCGAAAGUCAAGUGAUAGUUCAGGAGACAAAUUGGAAGUUUAGCCUAUUAGGAUUAACAAGUAAGCUUGCUAAAAUUCGUGUUAUGGCUCUUGAAUAUAGCUAAGAUUUACGCUUGCCCCUGUUGCAUUCCUUAAGUUUCCUUUCUACAGUGAAAGUUUUACCAAUUUGUUGGAGUGAAACAAUUCUUGCAAUAUAGCCAAGUCUCCUAGAAAGGUAGCAAGCUGACAAGAGUUAAUAAUUUAGCAAGUAAGCCAACUCCUAGAUAAUGGUUCAAACAGCACAACAUUAGCCGAAAAACCUAGGCUGAAAUUAUAAAUGAGGGCUUAUAAGGGUUUCUAGCAAGCUGACUCGUUGAUGAACUCGAGAUACAUAUUUUGCUGUUAUUUGGUGGGUAUUUGUUGGAAUUAAUGGAGGAGUGCACCAGUGUGCCAAUUUUGGAGUUAUGGAGUGCACCGGUGUGCAAUUUUGGAGUUAUGGGGUGUACAUAUAAAACACCAAUGUUUAUUUUUUUAUUUCUUAUUCUUAUUUAAUUAAGGUGAUUUUUGGAAGUUUGGUAGAUAAAACUUGGUAGUUGGAUGUAGAUAUAAGAUAAAACUUUGUGUUAUGUGAUAUGGCCUAAUUAUCUCCUCGUAACUGUUAGAAUUUAAAAUUGAAAAAUUUAAAUAUUUGAGGAUAUGGUUACCGCCUCAGCCGCUUGGCCCAUGCAAAAAAGUUUAAUAGAAAUCCGAUGGCCACACCUUUUCCCCUUUCACUUUAGGGUUUUGUGUGUUCAUAUCCGCGGAAAACUCCUACCUGAACACUUUGCACUUCUUUUCUAUGGGGUGUGAAAUUCAAAAUUCAACUUACUUUGUUUGUUUUAAUUUUUAUUUUUUUUCAAUUUUCUUCUUUCUGUUUGCUUUGGAUCAAAUAUCUCAAUUACCCGUUGGUUAGGAAUUUAACAUUUAAUUCACAAAAUACACAGAGGCAGGGAUUUUUAAAAUAUUGGCCAGAACCCUAAUUUGGGGUUGUUUUUUUUUUAUUUUUUUACCGUUCGUAUGUUUCAUACUUAUGGGUAACAAGAUUUAUUAUGGGGCGUGGACAAAUUUAAAUUCAGCCUCAGUAAGAUCGAUCUUUUGUAUUCACAAUUAUGCAUUUUAUUGUGUGUUUUAUGCUCGUUAAAGUUAGCUUUCGUUCACGGUUUGGACUCCAUAGUAAUCCAAUUGAGCCGAGGGCUAUGGUUUUUGUCAUACACGUUUUGGGAAUAUAUUCUGGAUCCUAACACCAUGUAGUUUGAUGAUCACGCCGGUACCCCAAAUUGUUUUUAACUAAAAAUUGUAGCAUGCGAUGCGAGUUUGAUAUCUAUUGUAAUUGCCGGUCCUUGCGAUCAGUUUUGAGAUUUAAGGGUUUGAUCAUCUGUAAAGUUAGUAUUAUUAAUUCGUCUCUUUGUCGUGAUUGAAUCGUUUGGAACAGUUUUCUGUUUCCAUUUAUAUUCUCGUUUUGGUUUCAGUGUCUUAUUUAUAUCUCGCAAACUUUAAAUUUGUAAAACUUAGGGGACGGCUUGUCGAAUUCUCGAACCAGAAUUAUGGCUCGGUUUAAUUACGGUUCACGUUGAGUUCACACGGGUCCAGUAGGGUUCAUUCGAGUUCCAUUUCCACUGGUGAGUAAUUCGCUGGGAUUUCGAUUGUUUAAAUAAUUGUCAUCUGUGAGAUGAUUGUUGAUUAAAAUAAACAGCCUUAAUAAAAUUUCUUUAUAUAGUCAUUUAUGCUUUUUCUUCUUAUUUGCAGUACCCCAAUCCACUUACUCUGCUUUAAUCUGGCAAAAGGAGUAGGAGUAGUAUAAACGGCGCCCUUGUUUUAGUUUAGUUUGACGCUGCUUGUGCUUUUUGGGGCUCAAUGCCUAGAAUAAUAAUAAUUUUUUCCUCGCUAUCUAACACGUAAUUAUUGUAACUAGCUAAUAACAUGUAAUAUUUCUAUGAGUUAGGUCCUAGUGCCUGUGACGAGGUGCGGUGAGAUAUCCAAACGGAAGGUUUACGGUCUUUUAUCAUUCAAAAUUUUCGUCCAAGUGCAAUUGGUCGUGGCAUUUCUGAUGACCAAUGCCAGUGGUUGCUUCGGGCGGUUGUUGAGGUACUUUCAGUUGCUCGAUUGAAAAAAAAAAAAAAAAGUCUGUGCUAUCUUGUUCUGCUUCUUGUGUUGGUCUUGUCAAUCUUUGGAAUGGAAAACAGAUGCUAGAUCAAUAGUUUCUACAUAAAUAUUGACAAGUGUUGCAUCUAUCUCUCUCUUUUGAUGGCAGCUAAGCCUUUUUGGAGGGCCUGAUGACCCGGGGUUUAAGCUUUUCCGAGGUAGCCUAUGGAAACAGUGUGGCAUUGAGGUGGAUGUUGAGGAUGGUUCGUCCAAGAAUGAUUCGACUUGCGCUAGUUCGGCUCAGGAUUGAAUAAAGAUGAAGAAUAAAUGUGUGAUUUUGGACCUUGGUGCCGACUAGUGCGUGUAGUUAGCUUUGUUUAUAAAAGUAGUAAAUCCACAUGCAAAAAGGACCAAUUUGCUUUGGAUUAAGGUUAUGUUGGGAGCUAUCUAUGAAGUUUACUCAUAUGAUCUGAUAUAAGCUAUUCCUCAUU